GUUCUGCUGGUAGUUUAGUCUAGUACUCCACCACGUAGAAACUGGAAAAGGGGACGGUGAUAUGGCUCGUUUUAUCACUCCGAUCAGAAAACCUGGAGAUGGACCAUAAGAUUGAUGGAUCGAUGUGGUCUAACUGUAACCAAAAUACUGAAGGCCUGAUCCACGAACAAUUACUGAAUCUCAAUCGACCAAUGCCUCGUCCAGGCUUCACUGCAGAGGUACGGAAUUUACACCUUCAGUUCAACAAGGCGCAGAGAGCAGAAGUGCAGAGAAAUCAGUAACAUAUUUGCCACGAUCUCGUAGUGCAGCGGAUCAAUAGAGAGCCACACGAACAAGUUAUGAACACGGAAGAGAUCGAAGAAAUGGACAAGGAGAACAGUGCUAAUCAAAGCUGGCAGAACUUUUCAUCAUCAUCUUCAUCAGUUCAUCACUGAUUACACUAUAUUACAAAGCCGGGGGCAAUCAACAACCAGCCAAGUCUCAGGCCCAUGGUUGUUCUCAUGCCACAGCCACACCUCGUAGGAGAACACUACAAGGCAAACUAUCUCAUACGUAGUCCCUAACUAAUUGGGUCCCCAGCAGCUGAGAUACAUGACCGUCCUCAGCCCCUCCUCUGCCUUCUCCGCUCGCCUCUUCUCUGCCACCGCUGCCGCGGCAGCGGCAGGAGACAGCUUCUUGCCCUGCGAGAGGCCGCCGCCCCUUGACUGCACGUUGGCCUUGGCUGCCCGGUGGAUGGACCUCAGAGCGUAGUUCCAGCGGCAGAGGCCCGCCUGGUCCUUGAGCGCCUCCACGGCCCCCACGCUCAUGGCCACCAUCCACGACGCCUUCGCUGCACCAGCCAUUUCUCUCUUCUAGUUUUCUCCUUUCUUCUUUCUCCUUGCUGCCUUGGUGAAGAGGAGACGCUGAUCCUUGAACUGUGAUCUCUGUAGAUUGAUUAAUCGGCUAGGAAGAAACUGAGCUGAAUUGAUCUGAUCGUGGUGUUGUGUUGUUGGUGAGAGGAGGGUGAGCGGUGGACGGGGUUAUAUAUGGGAGGGCCGGAAGCAAAACCGGUGGCUGCGGGUGUUGGUUUUCCAGGAAACCGGGUGCUCUCGGAAGCUUUCAGAUUCAGUUUGUUUGCUUCCGCCGCACAUCUCGCUUUCGUCCCGGUGAUGUGGCCGCUCUGCCAACCUCAUCAAUCUCGUCUUGUUUAUUCGCGGAAGAGAGGCGGUUUUGUCCGAUAUUGCGACUGGCCCGCGCUGGCAGAGAUAAGAUAUCAACUAUCAAGAACCGGCGAGAACAAGCAUUGCCUAUCAUAUCUCUGCGUGAAAAUUAAAUUAGGAAAACAUUAAAAUUUUAAUUCAUAUGAUUUUUUAUAAAUGUUUUUAAAUCAGAAACCGCAGAUUUUUUUUAUCUUUUUCUUGAAAAAAGUUUUUUUUGUUGGGCGUGGUUAUUUCUCAUGCUCUGAUUUUUAAGCAAAAGUCAGUAAACAAAUCGUAGCCGUUAGAUUAUGAUCUAGGUGUCACUCCUGCUCUUUACUCUUCCAAGUACAACCGUUGGAUCAAGAUCCAAAAGCCGUCAACUGAUCUAUAACUAAAAAUCAUAAAGUUUCUCAAUAGCAAAACCUUUUUUUUUCGAUAAAUUUCAGCUUUGAUAAAGUUUUUUUGUCUUUUCUUUUGAAACAAUGAACCUCUUCGCGGGACAAGAAGAGAACAGUUUAACAACAGAAAGUCAUAUCUUCUCUUGAAAAUCCAUAUUGGGUUUCAUUUUCGCCGUCACCUCUUCUUAGCCGGUAAAUGUCUUUUUUUUUCCUUCGCCAAAUCUACCAUUGGGAGUUCUAGUUUUUUCCAUCUAAAUUUUUUUAUAGAAUAAAGUUUUGUUUGUCAAUCAUUUUAACCGCGUCGGCGAUCUCAACAGCGAAUUUAUCAAGCCAGCACACUGUGCGCCCUUGUUAUAUCUACCUAAAUUGCUAAAUAUGGGUUGACACUUUAUGCAAGAUUGAAAUCUCUUGGGUGGACACUUGACAGCGAGCCGAUGGGCACAUGUUCCACAAUCUACAUACACAUGAAUAAGUGGAUUGCAUAUGAUUCCUCGAGUACUAUGGUCCAAGAAUACUGUUUGUGACUUGCGUCUACAGUGUUUUCUCAAGAAAAAAAAAAUACUAUUCGUGAUCAUCAUUUUUAGGGGAACGCGCGUGCAGAUAAUCAAGCUCAGAUUGGCCAUGGUUGACACGGGAGCAGGUAGCAGAGCGAGCAACAGGCAGAACCAUCAAUCAACCCAAAAUUGCACAAGUUUUCACCAUCAUCAUCAUGAUACAUAUGUACAUCAGGGGGCAAGAACCAGCCAAGUCGCUUGCCAAUUGCCAUGGCUGUUGCUAUGAGCGUAGGAACACCCUGUAGCCAAUGAAAAACUAGUCCUAGUUGGGACCCCAGCAGCUGAGGUACAUGACCGUCCUCAACCCUUCCUCUGCCUUCUCAGCGCGCCGUCUCUCCGCCGCCGGCGCCGCGGCAGAGGCAGGGCGCAGCUUCUUGCCCUGCGGGAGCUCGCCUCUUGCCCGGACGUCAGCCUUGGUGGCUGCCCGGUGGACGGAUCUGAGCGCGUAGUUCCAGCGGCAGAGCCCCGCCUGGUCCUUGAGCGCCUCCACCGCGCCCACGCUCAUCGCCGCCGUCCACGACGCCUUCUUCGCCGCACCCGCCAUUAAUUCGGUUCUCCUCAAGCUGCGUGAAUCAAUGAAGCUGGAAACCGGAAACUGAUCUGUGUGAACUCUGUGAUCGAUGACCGUAGCAGUCUAGAUGAGCUAGUGAAGUGUGGGAGUUUAUACGAAGGAAUUGAGCUGGAAGCUGAUGCUUGUGUUGAUGGGAAGAGAGAGGGGAGCUUUGGCCAGGUUAUAUACGGAAGCGGGGCUGCGGCAGGGCGGGAGCAAAACAGGCAGCUGCAGGCGCUGGUUUUCCAGGAUACCGGGUGCUUUCAGAUUCAGGUUCCGCCUUUGCUUGUUUACGCCGCACCUCUCGCUGUCGCCCCGGUGCAAUGCCACUGCGUGCACACGUCGUAUCGACUUUGUUUAUUCGCGGCGCCGGAGGCGGUUUUGUCCAUUUCGACUGGCCCAGGCCGGUUGAGAUAUGAUGGGAAUAACUGGUUGAGAUUUCAGAACGUGCAUCAAGAUUCAAUGAGCAAAACGAAAUUAUUUUCUUGCAACGGAUUGCAAAUUCGCAAUCAUUAUUUAUUUUUUAAUUCCAUUGUGAAAACGAAAUUAGGAUAUAUUUUUCGUCGCCAGAAAAAAAGAAAGUUGGAUUUUUUAAAUUAGGAUAUAUUAUUACUCCUCAACUAGAAUUCGGCAGCUGCUAUCAGUCCACUUCAGGCCAACAAGGCAACAAUUUGCAACAGUGAUUUCGAGAGUUUUUAACCACGCACUCUUGGGUUGACGGUGAGACCAAAGGUACGGAAGAACAGAAGAGCCUGCAGGAGGACAUGGUUUCCAAUUAUACAUACAGGUGCCAUAUGAUUCAGCACUCAUUUCAGUGUUUGCCGACGCUACAGGCACGCAUGUGGCAGAACACCAAACAAAAGAGUACACAUGUGCUGCUGCACGAAUCGUGGACACAUACAAAAUUGAGUACUUUCGUAUGCUUAUAAAAUUCAACAUACGAUUGGUUAUUAAAAAUUUGUGUAUACGUAUGUAUGUUUAAAUACUGCCUCUUCCACUGUGUCUUUUAUUGCCUACAUGAUCCUCUCAUUUAGUCAUGUUAAAGUUUUGAUUAUCGUCUAGUAGAACUGGGAAGGGAACCAGGUAUUGCUCGAUUCUGUCGCUUAGAUAGAUCUGAAAACUUGGAGAACAGCUCAUGAGACUGAACUCUCGUAUGAUUUGCUUCGCUACUAUGGAUCAGAGAAUACUAUCUGUGUCAUCAUUCAUAGUGGAGCAUGUGGAGAAUCAACUCAGAUUGGCCACCAUUUUGUUCUGCCCGUCGAAGGAGCAGAGAUAGCAACCACAGGCAGGAACUUGUAACCAACUCAAAGCUGAUGAUCAUCUGGAAAAAAUAAAUCAAAGCAAAUAGACGGUAAUGCAAACUUGUUCUAAAGCAAGGGGGCAAACAAUGUAAACUCAAGUGGGCAGAAAUUUUCAUCAUCAUCAUCGUGGUCCAUAUUUACAAUCAGGAGGCAAUUAACCAGCCAAGUAGCAUAGCAGGCCAUGGCUAAUUUUGCUGCUAAUAACACUACUAGCUUAGUUGGGACCCCAGCAGCUGAGGUACAUGACCGUCCUCAACCCCUCCUCUGCCUUCUCAGCUCUCCCCCUCUCUGCCAUCGCCGCGGCAGGGGACAGCUUCUUGCCCUGCGAGAGGCCGCCCCUUGCCUGGACGUUGGCCUUGGCGGCGCGGUGGAUGGACCUGAGAGCGUAGUUCCAGCGGCAGAGCCCGGCCUGAUCCUUGAGCGCCUCCACGGCCCCCACGCUCAUCGCCACCAUCCACGACGCCUUAGCCACACCAGCCAUCUUCUUCUAAUCUUCUUGCUGCUGCUGCGUUUGUGGAGACUGAUCUGUGAACUGUGAUCGCUGUAGUUUAGCAAGUGUAGUAGCUAGAGAACUCAGAACUGAUGGAGCUGCUUAAGUGAUGCUUGUGUUUGGUGAGAAGAGAGUGGAAGUGGGACGCGGUUAUAUACAGGAAGGAGGCCCUGGAGGGGCGGGCCGAAACCGGUGGCCGUGGGUGCUGGUUUUCCAGGAUACCGGGUGCUUUUGAUUCCAUUUUGCUUGUUUCCGCCGCAUCUCUCGCUGUCUGUCCCGGUGCAGGUGCCCGUGCCACUGCCGGGUGAUCUGCCCACAUCAUCCUUCUCAUCUUGUUUACUCGUGGCGCGAUAGGCUCUUUUGUCCGUUGCGACUGGUCCAAGCCGGCAGAUAAGAUUGGAGGGAGAGACGCGUAUCGAGAUUCAGUGGAUAAAACUAAAUUACUUUCUUGCAAAAACAUAACACCUUUUUUUUUGAAAAAACAUAACCAUCGUCUAAUUUUUGUUAUCUUCCUAAUAAUCGUUUAUAAAAAUCAAGUACAACACAUAGAAUCAGAAAAUGAUUUUGAACAAAACUUAUGAUAACAUGAGAUGGCCGUUCCUUCUUCAAACUCUUCGGAUGAUAGGGUUUGUGUUCUGAUAUAUUUCGGAACCGGCAACGAGGUACUGAUAUAAAAAAAAUCAGAGCACGUAUUGAUGGAUUUUAUUGGGCAAUCUCGCUACACAUGACUGAUUUAGUUUUGGGUGUGGUUAUAUCUAAAUUGCCGGAUUUUUAUGUAAAAUGUUUAAAUUUAAAUUGACGAAUCAUAAUCAUUUGAUUAGCAUGUAGAUUUCAUUUUAUCCUUCUUUUUUCAUCACCCAUUUUGAGUCUUAAAGCGCAAAUUAUAGCCAACGGCAGAUGAAUCAACUUAUCUCUAACUAAAAAUCAGCCAACUUAGAUAUAACAAAACCGUUAAGCACACGCUUUAUUCUUUCACACGGAGUUGGUGGCGGCAGGCACAUGACACAGUCUAGUCCGUCCUCCCACCGAUCCUCCGGUGGCUCACCUAUGUGUGUUCUUUUAUUAAGAUUUAUCUUGUUGUUGCGUUUUUUCUGGUUGUGUAAAUCUUGUUAUGCACAGGCCGAGUCACUAAACUCUUUUGUUUGUAUCAUUCUGAUUAACUUUGAGAUCAAUACAAUGCUCCGUUUAUCAAACAAUUUGCGAGAUGUGCUUUGGAGAGUUUUACCAAUGCUCUCGUGUUGACGGUGAUACUAGCUAUACAUGUAUGCUCUCUGUAUGUUUAAAUACUGUUCUUUUAGGGGUGUUAAUUUACCUUCCAUGGUCCACCUAUGCAUGUUGCAUUUCUGAUUAUCAUCAAGUAGAAACUGGAAAUGGAACUCUGGUUUGUACGGCUCAAUUCGCGUUGGAUCACAAAACUUGGACAAGACUGUACACGGGUUCCACAUACAUGUCUGAAACCUAUCAUUAAUUUCUCCGGUCAUCAGUAGGAGUAGUACUACGGAUCCGAUAAUACUACUAUUUGUGCUGUCGUUCCUUUUGCAGCAUGCAUAUAAUCGGCUCAGUCUGGCCACGUUCUUGUCGCGAGCAACAGGCUGGCCAAGAGGCCAUGUCAGUAUGCAACCAACUGAAAGCAAAUGCUUCUUCAAAGUAACAUUGAAAGCAAACAGAGGGAAUGGUAAACUUUUUUCUCUAUCUCUUUGAAGCAAGGGCGAUAGUAAAGUCGAAAUUGACAGAAGUUUUCAUCAUCAUCAUCAUGAACCAUAUUUACAAUCAUGGGUCAACCAGCCAAGUCUGGCAUGCAGUGGCAAGCCAUGGUUGCCAACGAACACGUACGCUUAGCUAGCUAGCUAACUAGAAUUACUAGUUGGGACCCCAGCAGCUGAGGUACAUGACGGUCCUCAGCCCCUCCUCUGCCUUCUCCGCUCGCCGCUUCUCUGCCGCGGCAGAGGCAGGAGACAGCUUCUUGCCCUGCGAGAGGCCGCCCCUUGCCUGCACGUUGGCCUUGGCCGCCCGGUGGAUGGACCUGAGCGCGUAGUUCCAGCGGCAGAGCCCGGCCUGGUCCUUGAGCGCCUCCACGGCUCCCACGCUCAUCGCCACCAUCCAUGACGUUGCCUUCGCUGCACCAGCCAUCUUCUUCCUUGCUGCUGCGUUGGUGAAGAUCGACGCACUGGUCUGUGAACUGUGGUUAAUUCCUGGCUGUAGAUCGAUUAGCUGCUAGUGGAAGAACUGAUCAAAUGGUUGUGUUGUUGGUUAAUUCCUGGCUGUAGAUGGUCCUCCUUGGCCAUGAGAAGAGAGGAGCUAAUACAGAUGCUCACAAUCUUUCUAAAGCAGCAGCAACUCUCUCUGCGGGUCGCCGUUUGUGGCUUCUUGAUACCCCUUGAAUCUCUUGUAUCCCAACCUUUGCUUUGAAUUAAUAAAGUGGGGUACUUUGCUAAAAAAGAAAAAAGCUGCGUGCUGCACCGGUCCGUCGCUCCGACGAUCUUUCCUCUGCACCCCGGGUGGAUCCAAAAGCUCAGCUGCCUAACGGCCUGCACACCUCGUGCAGCGAGAGCGCAGGAAUACGGGUUGGUGAGACAUGCACAUCUGCAAGACGAACACACAACAAGAAAGAUACCUGGGCGACUGCACGAAUCGUACAAUCUUAUUAUUUGUAUAUGUCCAUUAAAUUCAAAUUAUGAUCCUUGAUUAUUAACAAAAUAACUCGCACAUACUUAUGUUUAAAAGUUUAAAUACGUACCGCUCAACCUCCGUCUUUUUUCUCUUUGCCUACCACGGUCCACAGAUCCACACUCGUCUUAACCGUUCUGACCAUCGCUUGGUACUAUGGCUCAAUUCUGCCACUUCGAUAAAAAAAGAAGAAGAAGCCAGGAGUCCAGGAGAACACAAACAUCGUACAUGACUGAACAUGCGAUUCCUUCAGUAAUACUAAUAUGGAUCCGAGGAUACCAUAUUUGUGCGUCAUCGAUCAUUCAUGGUAGAACAUGCACAUAAUCAGCUCAGGCUGCCGCCAUCUUUUUCUACACAUCGAAUUGCCACGUAGCAGGACAAGCAACAAGGAAGAACUAAUUUGUAACCAACUCAAAGCAAAUGAUCCAUGAAUCCUCCUUCUCGCAAAAAAAAGAAGCAGCUUGGAGGCAAAUAGCCAUCUGAAAUUCUGAACUCAACGCGGCAGAAGUUUUCAUCAUCAUCCAAGUACAUAUUGUACCGUUGUACUCCAUAUUUACAGACCGGACUCCGGUGGCAACCCAGCAGCGCCAAGCCAUGCACGGCUGCUGCUAGCUAAGAACACCACUAGCUAACUAGAAUUGCUACUAGUUGGGACCCCAGCAGCUGAGGUACAUGACGGUCCUCAGCCCCUCCUCUGUCUUCUCCGCCAUCGCCGCGGCAGGAGACAGCUUCUGGCCCUGCGAGAGUCCGCCCCUUGACUGCACGUUUGCCUUGGCUGCCCGGUGGAUGGACCUCAGAGCGUAGUUCCAGCGGCAGAGCCCGGCCUGGUCCUUGAGCGCCUCCACGGCCCCCACGCUCAUCGCCACCAUCCACGACGCCUUCGCUGCACCAGCCAUAGAUUCUCCUCAAGAUGCGUUGGCUCCUUGGGUUCGGGGACACUGAUCUGUAUCGGAAGAACUGACAGAGCUGAUUAAUUGAUGCUUGUGUUUGUGUUGGUUGGAAGGGAAGUAGGACUUGGUUAUAUACUGGGAGGAACGGGGCGAAACAGGUGGCUGUGGGUGCUGGUUUUCCAGGAUACCGGGUGCUCUCUGCUCUCCGGCUUUGCUUGUGUACGCCGCGUGUGCAUCGCUUUCGUCCCGGCUCGACUCGUCUUGUUUACUCUCGACACGCGAUUUGUCUGUUGCAAGUUGCAACUAGCCCAUGUGGGCAGAGACAAAGAUGGAGGAGUAGGAGAUAACCUGACGUGCCAAUGCAGACCGGAUGCAGAUUUCUUUUUUUCUGAGGGAAAGACCGGAUGCAGAUGCCACGCAACAUAGCAGCCUGCAAUGACGGGCCACCUUAACAUGGGCCUCAAUUCUUGGGCCCGUCCUGUUGUGUGUGUGCCAUGAUCUAUCGGCUCGUUAGCCCACGAAAACGUGGAAGAAAGGUACGCAGGAGGCAGGAACUCUACACGAAUGGAACGUUAUCUGCUCCCACGACACACGCCCACAUCUCUCAAGUCCAGCUUCCCUCUGGUUCCCCUCAAGUUUCCCGAGCUAUGAUGCAGCAAAAGAUCACGGCGUGGAAGCCCUACUACGCUCAGCAGCCGGGGGCGCUCCUGCUGCCAUGGCCGUCGAUCCGACGAGCUUUCCCCUGCACUCCAGGCUUGUAUAGCAAGAAGACGGGGGCAGCAUCGCGGCUGGUGGUCAGGAGGAGGUGCCAAGAAAAAGAAGAGCAGAGCGGCAAUGGCGGCGGCAAACAGAAGCAGCAGCAGGAGAAGAGGACCUUCCUCAGCCUGGAGGAGGCCGGGCUGGUGGAGAUGUCCGGCCUCAGCACCCACGAGCGCUUCCUCUGCCGCCUAACCGUAAAAUUACCCCUGAAACCCAACAUGUUUAUAUUACAUAAAUUAGUAGUCGAUGGUUGAUGGUUUGUGUUCUUCAGAUAUCGUCGUUGAACUUGUUGAGAGUGAUAUCGGAGCAGGAAGGCGUGGCGAUAGAGGAGCUCAACGCCGGGCGUGUGUGCGACUGGUUCUUGAAGGAUAAGCUCAAGAAGGAGCAGAACCUCGACUCCGCUGUCCUGCAGUGGGAUGAACCUGCCAUCUAGCUUCGCCGUCUUGGUUAAAGGCUUUGAUAAUUCAUUCGGUUGAGAUGAGAUAAAUAGCAUAUGGGAGGAUCGAUGCAUGAAGAUCAUGUAAACACGGUUAGCUUGCAGAGUUUUUCAGCAUUGCUCAAGGAUCAAUGCAUGUCUAAUGUUCCAUUUCAAUUCCAUGAAGAGAAAUAAACGUAUUACAACUUUGAUUUAGCUGCAACGUUUCUGUAGGCGAAGUACUACCAUUUUUAUCCAGUUUUCUGUUUUGCAAGUAUCGCGAAAAAGUUCUUGAAAAUUCAUAGUACGGAGUGAGGUGGAGAUGGAGAUGGUCCAAAUGUUGGUCGGUUGGUCCAAAAGCUUAAAAUUGUGACUGGGGAUUUAGAAGGAAAAAAAAGUCCACUCAACUGAUAAAUUAGUACAGGCCGAACAAACGCUCAUUUCGUCGAGCAACUGGUGCGCGCGCGUGUGUGCUCCUCCUUGCCACGGUUCCAAUGCGGCGAUUCUGCAGCAUCCCGCGCGGCAGGCGAGCGGCGCCGGCCGCGAGCCCCUACGGCCACCAGCCUCUCCCGCCGCCGGAGUGGAUCGAGCCGUACACGGACCUGGCGGACCCGAGCCCGUACACCUCCGCCUCGGCCGCGCCGCCUACCCCAUCGCCAUGGCUCCCGCGGGUCGUCUCCCUCGUCCUCCGCGCGCCUCCGGCCACGCUCGCUGCCGACCUCCGGGCCUUCUGCAAGACCUUCCUCCUCCGCCUCUCCCCGGCCUUCGUCGCCGCCGCGCUCCGCUCCCCGCAGCUGCUCACGCACCCGCUCCCGUCGCUCCACUUCUUCCGCUCCCUCCCCAACGGCGCCGAUCUCGCCGCCCACCCGCAGGACCUCCUCAACUGCUACGUCUCCCUCCUGCACUCCUUCGCGCACUCCAGAGAGGCUACCCCCGACGCCGCCGACCACGCGCGGCAGCUCGUCGCCGAGUUGCGCGCCCGCGGGGACGCCGUGUUGAUGCACCUCACGCCGCCGUCGUCCGCGUCGCUGAUCCGCAGCCUCGCGGCUCUCGGCCUCGCCGACGAGCUUCUGUGGGCGUGGAGCGCCAUGCGGCUCGCUGGCGUCGAACCCUCCAGGGUGACCUACAACUGCCUUCUCGAUGGCCUUGCUAACGCAGGCCUCCUUGACACUGCCAUCAACGUGUUCGACGCAAUGUCCACAGAGGAUCGAGUUCGUCCCGACGUGGUCUCCUACAACAUUCUCAUCAAGGGGUACUGCCGCGCAGGGAGGGCGCAGGAUGCUAUGGCACGGCUCGCUCACAUGCGGGAACAGGCCGAGCUCUCGCCGGAUAAGGUGACAUACCUUACACUAAUGCAGUUGCAUUACAGCGAAGGCACCUUUUCUCAGUGCAUAAGAUUGUUCCAAGAAAUGGAAGAGAUGGGAAUGGGGAAGGACAUUCCGCAACAUGCUUAUGUGCUGGUGAUUGGUGCUCUUUGCAAGGAAGGGAAGCCAUUUGAGGGACUGGCUGUGUUCGAGAGAAUGCUGAAGAGUGGUUACCCGGCCAAAGCAGCCAUGUAUACCGCGCUCAUUGACACAAUGGGUAAAUUUGGUAGGGAGAAUGAGGCAAUGCUACUCUUUGAGAGGAUGAAGGCAAGCGGUCUUGAGCUCGAUGCAAUCACAUACGGAGUCAUCGUGAACUGCUUGUGCCGGUUUGGGAAGCUGGACGAGGCCAUUUUAUGUUUCAGGAAUUGUGUAGAGAAGGGUAUUGCGGUGAAUGCUAUCUUUUAUACAAGUCUGAUUGAUGGCUUUGGGAAAGCUGGAAUGGUCGACCAAGCACAGGAGCUCUUUGAGGAGAUGAAAGUUAAAGGUUUUGUGCCCGACUCAUAUUGCUACAAUGUGCUGAUCGAUGGAUUAGCUAAAGCAGGAAGGUUGGAUGAUGCGUGUGCCUUGUACAAGAGAAUGGAAGAUGAUGGCUGUGACCAGACUGUCUACACAUAUACCAUAAUCAUUGAUGGUUUGUUCAAGAAACAUAAGAAUGAGGAGGCAAUCAAGUUCUGGAACACAAUGAUCGAUAAGGGGAUCACUCCCACAGCUGCAGCUUUCAGGACCUUUGCCAAUGGCCUCUGUCUUUCUGGCAAAUUCAGCAGGGCAUGCAGAAUAUUGGAUGAAUUGGCUCCGAUGGGGGUGAUCCCUGAGACGGCACAUGAGGAUAUGAUCAAUGUUCUGUGCAAGGCUGGCAGAUUCAAGCAGGCAUGCAAAUUGGCAGAUGGCAUUGUACAGAAGGGCCGUGAGAUACCUGGAAGGGUUCGAACGAUGAUGAUCACUGCACUCAGGAAAGCAGGGAACACUGAUCUAGCUGUCAAACUGGUGCACAGUAAGAUAGGCAUUGGAUAUGUAAGAUCUGGCAGUAUCAAAAGAAGAGUGAAAUUUCAGACCCUGUUUGUAUAAGUUGACGAUUUCAAAAAGGUGAGAGAGAAGACACGCAGAGCUGCUAAAGAUUUAUCAAAACUGAGAAGGCAUGGCAUAAGCUACACUGAACUGUUGCAUCGCAUUCUGGACAAUGUUUUGAAUCUGAAGAGCCUGCUCUCCUGCGGGAAUUUUGUUGCAAUGUUCAGGAGCCAAGAAUUAUUCUGGCAAUUUUCAGGAGCCAAGAAGCUUAAAGCAGCCAGUUUCAAACAAUUAAUGCUAUGUUUGCAUCGUUGUAUUUUUUGUGGAAGGGCUAAAGGGCUAAAAUUACUUGGGGUACAUGAAUCUCCCAGACUACUGAGAAAUACCUAUGUGAUCGACUGCAUUCUCUUCAAAGAAACGAUAGGCUGGACAAAGAAUUGCUAAGAUGGCCUAAUCAGUGGCGUACCCACCCGCGGGAAAUUUGGUCUGCUGAUCGUUUUGGGCAGACCAUCAGAUCGACAUUGUAGCGUCAAAAUAUGUGACAUGUAGUGUUUGGUUGAUGGCACGAGGAUGUGAAUAUGAUUCCACCAUUGUACUAUAACUAAGUCAUUCGGUCUCAAUUUGUCUCAUGCUCGAACCAAACACUAAAUUAUCACCGCAACUGUGCUGCUUGAUCAGUUGCUUUGGAUCAUACAAUGAAGAGUUUUGCAGCUCAAUUACAUGGACCAUGGUAAUCUUACCAAUAUUAACGAAGUUUUGGAACUUACGCACACGAUGGAUUUAAUACUGUUACCGCACAUCCUGCUGUUCUCUUUACUGCGAAAACACGCCUAUGCAAACCAUAAAUCUAUGAACUUAAAUCUUGAUACAAAAUGGGACAUCCAAUCCAAACAGAUUUUAUUGCGUACUGCCUCACCAGGCCAGGAAAGGAUUUUGCCAAAAUACUGCUCACAGAGCUUUUAAAGACUCUGGCCAUGUAUUACAAGCACAACAACAAUUCGAAGUAAUAAAAAUAUGUGCAUGUCAUUCCCAGGCAAGAAUUACAGGGUAUCAGGCCAAGGUUGUUGGUUAUCAUCGACCAACAAGAAAGCCUACAUUGGCAUAUAAUCACAUUAAAGAUCUCUAAGGCCCUGCUACAAUCGUUUCUCCAAAAAGGAGAGCACAAUUUACACAAGCCCGGUUGGUUCAUUUGCAUCCAAUGGCUCCUGCAAUGAGUGAAAACCAUACUUAGAAAACAAAUCUGACAAAGUAAUUGGGAAGAAAAUUGCACAUAUGGAUCAAAAUCAGACAUCAAAUUGACCAGUUGAUGUCUCCCUAAACCUAUUACACGAAACAGUGGAUGGACACUAAACUAAGUGCAUAGGGCUAACACAGAGAAGCCACACAAAAAUCAUCAAGCAUCCCAGUACAUCAUGUAUUUAAACAAAGUAUCAAGGAAGCCAAAAUCGAAAAUAUUUGGAGAAAAAGGGAGAUGAGACACAUGUACAAGCAUUGAUGUCAAAUUGUCUACAAUGCCUCAGAUUUGUCGAUUGAUGUCAAAUUGUAUCCAUUUUGUCAAGAGGUUCUCCCUGAAACAGGGGCUUGACUCCAUGGAACAUCCAUUUUGCAGACAGGAUCAUCAUCAGCAAGAGUCCAUAUAACAUCCAUAUUGCAGAGAGAAGCAUCAGACAUUUAUUUUAGUACUGAAUAUAAAUAUAUCUAUUACUAUGAUGCAUCAGAUCUUUUUACUUACAGAAGUGAAAUUUCUACAGUGCCUCAGAUUUGUCGAUUGAUGUCAUAUUAUAACUGCUUCUUCAAGAGGUUCUCCCUGAAACAGGGGCUUGAGUCCACAGAACAUCCAUUUUGCAGACAGAAGCAUCACAGGCGACUAUCUAAAGUAAAUUAUAUGCUACUGCUAUGCAUCAUAUUUUGGUACAUAGAAAGAUGAAUUUUUCAAAGGUGCCUCAGAUUUGUCGAUUGAUGUCAUAUUGCAUCUGCUUCCUCAAGAGGUUCUCCCUGAAACAGGGGCUUGAGUCCACAGCACAUCCAUUUUGCAGACAGAAGCAUCACAGGCAACUAAGUACCAAAGAUAAGAUUAAUUGAUACCAUGACGCAUCAUAUUUUUCGUUAAUUAGAUAAAUGAAACUUUGUAUAAUGCCUCAGAUUUGUCGGUUGAUGGCAUAUUAUAUCUGCUUCCUCAAGAGGUUCUCCCUGAAACAGGGGCUUGAGUCCACAGAGCAUACAUUUUGCAGACAAAAUCAUCAUUGGCAACUAUCUUAAUUCUUCAAAUGCAACAAAUAUAUAACUGCAUAUUUUCAAAUAUACACCUAAAUUUAGAAUAACCAACAGUCUAGCCAAUGGUCAUCCCAAUGCAAUUCAGACGGGCAUGAGCACAGGACAAGCUUAGUAGAUGCACAAAAUUAGGAUUAAACUGACACAGUCAACAGAUGUGGAGAGAGAUUUUGGAAGCAUAACCAGAAAGAGUUAGCUGCCACGUUAAACUCACCAGGAUCACUCUGUGCCACCAUGACUGGGCAACUUUGAGAAAGAACAAUCUCAAGAAGCCAAAGGUGAGAGAGGCACGACCAGAAUAUUGCAAUAUAGCUGUCAAGAGAAGCUCGGAACGAGCACCUUACAAUGCAUGAAUGUUGGACACUGAAACUAAGUACAUCACAAGUUUCGUUGUAACAGAUGUGACGAGAGAUUUUGGAAGCAUAACAAUUAACUGUCAGCACCCACGUUAAACUCGCCAGCGAUCACUAUGUGCCACCAUGACUGGGCAACUUUGAGAAAGAAAAGUCUCAAGAAGCCAAAGGUGAGAGAGGCACGCUUACAAACAAAAUCCAACAGCAAUACUUGGUUUUAAUGUUAAUGGCACAGCAGUGUUCAAUUUGAUACUAGAGCUUACUAUACAUAGACAACAUAAUCGAAAGCAAGCAUUGACUUACCCUUUCAAGUGUCGGCCUUCUUCUCCGGCGAAGUGGAAGUCGGGGAAGAACCAGCCGCCGCAGGAGGGGCGUCAUGGGAGCAGCAGCCACCGCCGUGAUGGUGGUGGUGGUGCUUCUUGGGCUGAGGCUGCCGCAGCAUCUUGCGCAUAUCGUAAGCAUCCUCCCCGUCGGCGUAGUACUUGGCCUCGAUGUCGUGGAUCUGGUAGCCGAGGGUGGAGGUGUAGAGGUUGAAGGCGGCGCGGUUGGAGCGGCGCACGUGGAGGGAGACGUACUCGGCGCCGAAGACCUGGUCCAUGGCGGCCUGCGCGGCGGACAUGAGCUUGGUGGCGAGGCCGAGCUUGCGGUGGGACCGGAGCACGGCGAGGGAGGUGAUGUGGCCGUGGCAGGGCUCCGAGGGGUCCUCCUCCAUCUUGGCCAGCACGUAGCCGACGAUACGGCCACCGUAGUCCUCCGCCACGAACAGCAGCUGCGGCCAGGAGAGCAUGUGGUAGAAGUAGUACUUCAUCUGGUAGUUCUCCGGCAGGCACAUCAGGUUGCACGCCUGCAUCGCCAGCAGGUCGUCGAUCGUUGCCUGCCGGAUGCACACCAUCUUCGCCGGCCGCCGCUGCUCUCCUCUACCCUUUCUAAGGUAAGGGGGUAUAGUCUCUUCUCCGGCGAGAUGCGGUGAUUGUGAUGCAUCCGGCGGCGGCGCGUAUUAAUAGAGGUCUGGCGAGAGGAAUAGAGACAUUUGACCUAACCCUAGAAUAAAGGGCUGAGAUAGGCCCAUGGGCCAAAGCGAGUUAGCACGAGAUUGGUCCAGUCCAGUGACAAUGAGAACAGGCGAUCCCGUGAGAUUUGGCGAAAAUUAUGUGAAUAUUCGAGCACAUAAAACAAUGUUUUUAUGUUCUGGAGUACUCCUUCCGUUCGUAAAUACUUGUCGCUGUUUUAGUACAACUAGUACGGUGCCCGUGCGUUGCCACGGCCUCUUAAACAUGUGCACACGAAAAUUCAUGUUUAUACAAAACAUAACAAUAUAAUUGGACAUUCAUCAAAAUGAUCUCGAGGCUGAUGCUAGCAGCCGCGGCCACGGACAUGGCACCCAGUCCACACCGUCCGUCGGCCGUGGCUGGCGUCAGAGCACGCGGUGGUGCAAUGCACGAGGAACGGUGGAUACCGUCGAUUAGCCCUGGACCUCUUUGCUCGUCUCUUGCAAGAUAAUCUAAUCCGGCGCCGACGCGUAUUGAGAGCGGUCAUCGCAAGGAGGUGCUGCGCGGGCAGUUGAGUCGUCGGCGAUGGCCCGGGAAGGCAGCGCUGUGGAAAAAAAAGGUUCGAUGGAGUGUAAGGAGACACGAAAAAUCAGAACAUGCAUGGAAAUUGAUGCACGGCGGACGACGAAGGAAACCUUCCUGUUUUUAUUAUUAGGAACUUUGCACUAAAACAGCGACAAAUAUUUAGGAAUAUUUAGGAACGGAGGGAGUAUUGUCUAUUCAAAUUGUAUCUUAUUGUAUACUCCAUUUUUUUAGAGAAUGUUGGCCAUGAAUGAACUCCUGCUUAUGUGGUAUUUUCUUCAAGAAUUUUUAUAAGAUAUUUCAUCAGGAUAGAAUACAAGAUACAUGCAAAAAAAUUGUACCAAGAGAUACAUGAAAACAUCAUCCAUAAAGGAAGAUACAUGCAACACCAUGGCUGUUCAGAAAGGAUCGAUGUCUCAAGUUGCUCAGUACAAAUUACAAAGUUUCAUCAGCACACGUCAAAUGCGGUGCAUCAAGUUAUUCCAAUGGAACAGAAGCUCCUCGCAACAUGCUUGGGUAACAUAGUUUCUUAUCUAAUCGACCAUUGCAAAGCUUAUGAUGUCCCGUCGGCUGCGAGAAAGGGGUUUGCAAUCUCAUCAGUUCCAUCAGUUGGUGACACCAGCAUGACUGCUGUGCCUCUACAGACCUGCAAGACAGAGUAUUGGUAAGAUGUAUCAUGUAUGACAGACCACCUCAACAACUGGAAAGGUAAAAUCCCAUGAAAAGGAUUAAGGAACCACUGGUAAUACUACUUCUAGAGAAAGAUUUGCACUUUACACCUCAUGAUAAUGUGGUUUCCAUUUAGGAAGACAUGCUACUCAGAAGAUACCGGGAAUACAAUUUGAUAAGCAUGGACCGUGACACAAUUCAACAUUACCAACCAUGGGGGAUAACAUCCACUAUUAAGCCCUUCAAAAUAAUAAAGGACGGAUUGACUCUACAAGUUAAAAUCGAUAUUAGAAGAGUACUUACAAUGAGACCAAGCUGUCUGGUCUUAGUUGAUAGUUUCAGUGGGUCAUCUUGCUCUACAAAAGAAAAUUGCAAUACAUAUUAUUACACAUGCCUUGCAAAAAAAAAGACACUCUAAAGCAAGAAUAAAUGAGGUCAAUAUUCUCUCUCAAUGUGCAAGUGACAUUAUGAUCAUGGUGUUUACAGGAAACAUAACUCCACAUUCAUUGUAAUCUAUUACUUCAUGCAUUGAUGCAUGAGCUAGUAAGAUGCUAGCCUUGAAAAUAUUUAGUAGGGCACAAUAUUCUACAAUCGGCACUGAGCAAACAAACAAAUACAGAGGAAACAAGGAUGCCAAGUGCAGUAAUGCAAGGCAAAAAAAGUCCUAAUUGUAGUCAGUCUGAACUCUGAAUGGCUAAGAAAACUCCAUAUGGACGAUUGAGCACAAAUAAAUGAAGCCCAAAUACCUCUUUCAGACUCAACUGCUUCAUCCAGCACUAAGUUCAGCAAUUGGUCAUAGCCCUUUAAAGUUCCUGUGACUGCAAAUACACAUGUGCCAGGUCAGUAUAUCACUGCUAUCAAACAACAAAGGACAAAAACGGGUUUUGUAGAUCUGGAACAACUCUAGGAGUUUAAAUGUCUUUCAACUACCAAGGAAAGAGACAAGUAUCAAGAUGUAUAGAUAAACAGGCCCAACCGAAAAAUAGUUGCAAGGAGUAAAUGAUUUGCAACAAACGGUCAAUAUAACAUGCUAAUACAAGAUGGUAACCAUGAUUGUUCACGGUAGAAGCAUGUAUUGCCGGCCACAUACCUGAGCUAGAUAACCAGCUCACAUCCGGACAUAUGUUUGGCAUAAACACAAAAUCCACAAGCAAAAUCAGGGGCAUUCAAAGAACAGUUUUAUAUGGUGCGUCAGUAGAAUUCUACUCGAAUUAGUAAUAUACUGUAUAGCCAAAUACUACUGCACAGGUGAUGGAGCUAAACACAAGCAAAUACAGUGAGCACCUAAUGGAUCUGACGAUGUAUAGCUUAACCCAGCAAAAGUUCUUUAAAAAAAGUUUGGGGAUGCGAACCAACCUUGCCGGCCGCCGGUGAGCUUCACCUGGACGCCCUUGUCGACGAACUUGGCUAGGUCGAGUGCAGUCUCCUUGCGCCCCGCCUGAGCAAAAGCAAAACAAACAACACAGACUCGCAUCAACGUGGCACCACACGAAUGGAGUCAGCAAACUAGUUCGAGCAUCACAGGGCCAAGCUUACCAUCUCGGUCCCAGCAACCCAACCGAAUCCUUCGUCGACUAGCUCUCGCUCUCGCCUUAGGGACGCGAAUCGAGGGAAAACCUGAGCGAAUUUUUUGCCCUAGAAAUCGACCUGCCGCCGCAGCUGAAGAACGCUCUCUCUCACCCGGAACCGGAGCAGCUCGGGAGUCCUGGCUAUGGGCUAUGGACUAUGGACGGAGGCCCAGUUAGAGACAUGGGCCAGGUUGCGACCUACUGGUUUGUGGGUUCCACAUUUCACCGGUCCCCUAAGGCCCAUGGUGCCACCAGCGAGUCAGCAACUCUCUUCUACCCCCUCAAAAAAAAAAAGCAACUCUCUUCUUCCUCCGGUCGCUCGGUCUCCGCUGCUGCGCCCUCCGCCCGCCGCCGCGUACCGGUGCAGCAAUCCCCAAUUCCGCCGCCGUUGAAGGGUGAGUCUGCGGGGGUCCGUCGUCCGACUGUUCUUGGAACCGCGACUAACACGAACGGUGGUUCUGCCCCUGAACUUCCCGCCAGGUCUCCACGGCUUCUUCCAGGCGGGUGGAGGUGGCUGUAGGAGGUGAAGGUGAUUACCGUACUUAUCGUCGUAGAAUCCGGUGUCUCUGCGCUUGGCGUAGCAUUUCCUGUUUUGGGGUGGCUUGCUGCGUGCAAGGUUUGGUAUAUUUGCUUUCAUAUAGGCGAGUGGGGCAGCUGUUCUGGCGCUUGGCACGUGUUCGACGAAACGCCUCGACAACUCCUUCAUGCUUCUGCUAAUCAUGGUUCCAUGUUUGUUAUCAUGGCAGUGAGAUAUUGAUUGGACAAAGUACUCGGGCUCUAGUUGGAACCAGCACAGGGCAAUGUGAGUCCUCCUGAUCAGUGAUAAUGUCAUAGUGCCGCUUCAAAAAAAAAGAAGAUAAUGUCAUAGUGCCUUAGUGGGACACUGGAACUGGAUAAAUACGUCUUUCUGUACUGGUUGUUCCUAGUUCUUCUACUCGUUGCACGGCAUGACAGCAAGAACUAUCCUGGUACCUAAGCUGACAGCUGCUGAUGCUGUCCACCUAACCUGUUCGUUGUUAUGGCACUGCAGGGAACACGAUCUCGACAUGCUCCGAAUACUUGUGGCCACCGAUUGCCAUCUAGGCUACAUGGAGAAGGACGAGAUACGAAGGUUUGAUUCGUUUGAGGCUUUUGAGGAGAUAUGCUCAUUAGCGGAGCAGAAUAAGGUUGGUAAGAGCAGUACGUUAUCUUUAUGUUGAUCCACCUGAUCAUUUUGUCAUGGACAGCCUAUUGUCGUGCGUCAUAACUGGAUGAGACUGAUUCGCAGGUAGACUUUGUGCUUCUUGGCGGUGACCUAUUCCAUGAGAACAAGCCUUCGCGAUCAACCUUGGUGAAGACUAUUGAGAUUCUACGCCGCUUCUGCUUAAAUGACCAGCCAGUGAAGUUCCAGGUUGUCAGUGAUCAGACAAUCAACUUCCCAAACAGGUUUAACAAUAAAUCUCAUAGUUCAACGUUUCAUUCCAUAAGUGUGCUCAUAUUUUGAGAUCACUAAAAUAUUCCAUGUAAACUCAAGGCAAUCGCAAGAGUUUCCAUGGGAAAGUCCUUACUUAUGCUUCCUUUUUUAUGCAACUUUUACUAAUUUCAUUUGUCUCUGUAUCAUGCAUGAAAACCUUAGGGAAGAUGUCUGCCAAAAACAAAUUAACUUCAUUUUCUGAGACGAAUUUUUCCUAUUGCAUUAACAGAUUUGGCCAAGUAAACUAUGAAGACCCCAAUUUUAAUGUUGGCUUGCCUGUGUUCACUAUCCAUGGAAAUCAUGAUGAUCCUGCUGGGGUGGUAUGAGCUUCUUUUUCUCUUCUUCUGAAAUUUUUGGGUUUCUACUGGAACUAUGUUUACCAUGCUCAUUCUCUGCUUUCUUCUAUGCGUUCAUUCAUUUUCCCUUGUUGUAGGAUAACCUCUCUGCUAUUGAUAUCCUUUCGGCCUGCAACCUUGUAAAUUAUUUCGGGAAGAUGGACCUUGGUGGCUCUGGUGUUGGUCAAAUAGCAGUUCAUCCAGUACUCGUAAAAAAGGUGAACCACUUCCGUCCGAGGCAAUAUCAUGAGCUCUCAAAUAUCAGUUCUGUAAUUUCCUACUAUUUCAGGGUACUACUACAGUUGCACUAUAUGGUCUUGGGAACAUUAGAGAUGAACGACUGAACAGAAUGUUUCAGGUGCCUUUCCAUUGAGUUGGUUUGGUUUGAUGUUUUUUUAUAAUAACUUGCCACUGGAGCAAGAUUUUGUUUUAUUUUUUGCAUCUUUAUACCUGCAAUGCAAUCAGCCCUUAAUGAUAUCAUAUUCUGUAUCUCAAUACUUCAGACACCUCAUUCAGUACAGUGGAUGCGACCUGAAACUCAAGAUGGUAUGUCAGUAUCCGACUGGUUCAAUAUCCUGGUUCUUCAUCAGAACAGGUAUGCAAAGCAAGUUAACAGCCACAAAGUACAUUAUUAUGUUCAUUUAUUUCCAUCCUUAAUCCUGCUGGCUGGAAAGCAAUUUUACACUGGAACUCAUACAGGAUAAAGACAAACCCAAAAAGUGCUAUCAAUGAGCAUUUCUUACCACGGUUUCUGGAUUUCGUGGUAUGGGGCCAUGAGCAUGAAUGUCUUAUUGACCCUCAGGUAGUAACUUGGGAUUUGCUUUUGAAAUUCAUGUUUUUCAUGGCAAAAGUGUACUGAGCACCUGCCUUCUGAUCAAUUGUUCAUAGGAGGUCCCUGGGAUGGGUUUUCACAUCACUCAGCCAGGCUCAUCAGUUGCCACCUCCCUGAUUGAUGGUGAAGCAAAACCAAAGCAUGUUCUUUUGUUAGAAAUCAAGGUCAGUUUAGUAAUCCUCUUCUUUCAUGUUAAAAAUUACAUCAUUGUGAUCUUCAGUGUUUUCUCAUUCCUUAUAUAUUCAUUAAAUAGGGAAACCAGUAUAGGCCAAACAAAAUACCUUUGAGGUCUGUUAGACCUUUUGAGUAUGCUGAGGUAUGCCACUCCUUGCUUAAUACCUUUUUCGGUUAGUAAAUCUCACAGGCUGAAAUGUGUAGGUUGUGUUGAAAGAUGAAGCAGAUGUUGACCCUAACGACCAGGACUCUGUUCUUGAACAUUUGGAUAAAAUUGUGAGUUUUCAGUUUCCAUUGCUGCAUUUACAACUUCAGAUGUGGUCCAUUUUCUUGAAAGCAUGUCGGUGUGCUAGUUUGGAUGGUCCAAAAAUGUCUUCUUUGCCAGUUUGUUUAGUCCGGUGUAAUUCCUUGUUAAAUGGAAGUGGCUUAUGCUCAGUUUCAUAUUACUUCCUCAACUUCAGGUAAGAAAUCUGAUUGAGAAGAGUAGUCAACCAACAGCCAGUAGACCAGUGCCCAAACUUCCAUUAAUUCGAAUCAAGGUAAAAGUAUCAGAACUGAAGUGCUCUCCACGAAGUGAUGAAGAUACAAGCAAUUGUAAGUUCUCAUACUAUUCUGCAGGUAGAUUACUCUGGGUUUUCAACAAUAAACCCGCAACGAUUUGGCCAGAAGUAUGUUGGCAAGGUACCUUGGACACUAAUCUAUUAAUUACUGAAGUGGCCUUCUCAAGCUUACCUGAAUGGACUAAUUUGAUGGCUUCCUGUUGUAAGGUUGCAAACCCCCAAGAUAUUCUCAUUUUCUCAAAAGCAGCAAAGAAGCGCCAGACUACAGGAGGAGGUAUUUUUUAUAUUUUUUAGAAACAGUGCAUUGAACGAAUAUCUGAUUAGUGAGAGAAAAUACACUGAGCUACGAUUUUUUCUAACUAAUUGUUUCCUUGACAAUUUAUUUAUAUAUUGAAGAAAAUGUUGAUGACUCUGAGAAACUGCGCCCUGAGGAACUAAACCAACAAACUAUUGAAGCAUUGGUUGCCGAAAAUAACUUGGUACUCCUUAAAACUUCAUGUACUAUGUUCUAUUAAGUUUUCAGGAGGGGAUACAUAUUGGUAUCCAUUUUAUUCUUAGUGACAUGUCCUCUAGUUGUAUAUAUGAUGAUCAUAUCAUGAAACAAAGAAUGGAUACUUUCUAUAUAUAUUAAACCUUAUGCAUCAAUCGAGUGUUCAAAUGUUCAUUAUUUGUUUAGUAUUGGAGAUAAAUUUUUUUUCAGAAAUAUAAUGCACAGAAGUAUACUUCGGGCUAGAAACUGCAUCGUGUUAGGCAUUGAAUAACUAAAAGUUAAUAUGACACACAAGGCCAUUUGGGUCUCAUUAAACUUUACAUGAGUUUGUACAGCCAUGAGCUGAAAAUUAGUUACAGUACUGUGAGACAAUAGACUAUUUUGUUGUCUAAGGGGCUUCCUAAUUUUUUUUCUCUCUAUCCAUUGAAUACAAUCCAACUUCUUUCUUUUUACGAUGGUGCAUCUUUUUUGUUCUCAGAAAAUGGAGAUUCUUCCAGUUGAUGACUUGGAUAUUGCAUUGCAUGACUUUGUCAGCAAGGAUGACAAGACGGCAUUCUAUGCCUGUUUGCAGAGAAAUCUUGACGAAACCAGAGUAUGAUUCACUACCAUUUUGUAUUACAGUCAGUCCUGAACUUGACUGCAUGAUGCCUGAGAAGAUAUCAUAUGUCUAACUCCAAAAUGCUUGGUUCAAAAUUGCAGAAGAAACUGAAUUCUGAAGCAGAGAAAUUUAAAAUCGAGGAAGAAGAUAUAAUAGUCAAAGUUGGCGAGUGCAUGCAGGUACAAACCUUAUACUAUAGUUUCAAAUCAAGGUUCCAACAAGGUUACUGAUUGACCAUUUUACUCUGUAGGAACGCGUAAAGGAAAUAUCCCUCCGCUCCAAGGGUGACACGCGGUUCACAUCAGGCUCUCAAAAUUUGGUGGUUACAAAUAUUUAAGCCCUUACCCUCUCCCUCUCCUUAUAGUGUAUGCCAUUUUUAAAAUGACUAACCUGUUUAUUGUUCCAAUGGUACUUAAAUCAGGAUACUGGAGGCAAAUCUGUAACAGCUCAAAGUAGCCUCAACACUUUUAGUGAUGACGAGGACACCAGGGAGAUGCUUCUUGGUACCAGAUCAACUAACGUUGGAAGGAAAACAUCUGGAUUUACUAGACCAUCUAAAGAUGCUACUGGUGAUGCUAAAGCUGGAGGGUCCAGAAGAGGCAGGGGAAGAGGCACCAGCUCUUUGAAGCAGACCACUCUUAGUUUCAGCCAAUCAAGGUUAUUGAAAGUCCUUGGUUUCUAGUCUUUUCAGCAUUGAACUUUUCGAGUCCGGUGUGAAGUAUAUGAGAAAUUUAUGGAUUCAUACUAUGGGUUGUGCUGCUCAUGGGCAAAUGGAACUCUAAUCAGUUGUCUGUAACAUUUACGUAUGUUCAAAUGUUUAAAUUAUUCAUCGCCCUUCUAGCCAUUCAUUCUGCAGUAAAUCUUCAGCAUUGACCUGACCGCCCAACAUUUGCAGGGCAUCUGCUGCUAUCCGCAGUGAGGAUGUGGACUCAUCCUCAAACGAGGAAGCGGAGAUUGAAGCAAACGAAGUUGCUGAUUCAGUAUGUCCAUUUUCUCUAUUUGGUACUUAUGUAGUAGUAUUUAACUAUUUAUACAUCCAUGAAAACUUGGCAACAAUAAUCUGGACUCCCUUUCCAAAGGACUUCAUAAACUUUUUUUGUUCUUUGAAUUCUCAAAGGAACCGGAGGAUAGUUUCCAACAAAGUGGACGGAAAAGACCAGCUCCUAGAGGUAGAGGUAGGGCUCGAGGCACUACAACAGCAAAAAGGGGGAGAAAAACAGAUAUUGCUUCCAUCCAAAGCAUGGUGAUGAGCAAAGAUGAUGAAAGUGAUGAAGAUGACACGCCUAAGAAACCUCCUCCUCGGGUAUGUGUAGCACCUCUGUAUUCUCAUGGACAAUUAUAACCGUUGCAGUUAUCUCAUGAAAUUGUUGCAUAUAGAUGUAAUACAUAUAUAUUGAGCAAAACUCGUUUUUUAAGAUUUUGUGUUGUUUCACAGGUCACCAGGAACUAUGGAGCCAUCAGGAGGAGAUAAUUUUCAGGAAGCACUUGCUUUGGAGAAUUUAGACCUUGGUCUCAGAAUACUGAACUGUUAACCUGGCAGGUGGUCUGUUUCCAGCGAACAACUAGAACGUGAUUACAUAAUCUCGUGUAUACAUGCCCAGGUGUAGUAGUUAGUUUGUACAUGGCAUGCAUAUCAGUCAGUGUGUUACUAACAAUAAUUUUAAGCCGACAGCAUGUACGUGCACUGUGUUUCCAGGUCAAGUCUUGUCACUUACGUUCAUGGCAUCCUACGACCUACGUUAUACAAAUCAUUGAAGUGAACUAACCAGAAGAUCAUUUUUGCGAGUAAUCCUGAAAAUACUGCUAUUACCCCUUGUGGGCUUGUAAGCUCAAAUGUGUCAACUUUGUUGCAUAAGAUAAUCCAGGAAAAAGUCAAAACUGUCAGCUUUUUUGCACAAGAUAAUCCAGGAAACAGUAUAUCACAGUGUAAACUUAUACACGGCAUCAUAGUCUCAAAAACGGAUAACAAGCACGUAGGUCACGUUUAUCUAAUCUUCUGCCGUAUCCUCUGUCAUAUGUUCGUUGAUCCAGCUCUCCCAGUCCCUACUAAGUGCUUGGCGGUGGAUUAAUGUUGUAUGGAGGAAGAGGUGCGCAAGGAGGCCGCCCAGGAACUGGAGGGGGAGGAGUUCCGUAAGGACACGGCAUGAAAACUUGACCAUACUGCAAGCUUGUGUUGUGCCCAUCUGCGAUAGUUAAAAGAGAAACAAAACACGUCAGUCUUCCAAAUCAACCUGGAUGUAUUGCACAAUGAACAAGAGCUAAACACUUACCAAUUGACUGUUGUUCAUAGGGUCCGUAAUUGCCAGAAGAACCGUACAUUGCUUGAGGUAAUGGUUGGGCAUGGAUUGGCCUUUCAGUCGAAGCUGCAGGUCCAUAGCCAGAUGGUCCAAGAGUCUGGUAGAAGUUCGUGUAAGCCAUGGGAGCUUCAACUCUUUGGUGCAAAUUUGUAUUGCUAGGAUUAGGAUUGUAUGGGCUUUCAUGGGGUACAUAUGUACUACCGUGCACAUAUCCAGGAAACAGGAUAGCUGGGUAGCUUCCAUAGAUUUGAUGUUGGUCUGUGGUACUUGGGUGGCUUGGGGGGAUUUGAUGUUGGUCUGUGCUAUUUGUAUAGCUAGGAUUUGGGUAGAUCGUAUGGAUUUGAUUCUGAUAUGGGCCAUUCAAGUAGUUUGGCUCGAUUAAAUGUUGUUUCUCUGCUGUACUCUGGAAACUUUGAUUCCCGGUGAUGCAGCCGGAGCUUGCACACCUGUUCCAUAUGGGUUAUCCAUUGGUGGUUGAAAGCCUGUCAGAGAUGAUCUUGCCGCAGGAAUGCCCAGAGAAACAAUCCCGGUAUAUGUCGAGCUAACCUAUAAGUAUUAAAAAAAGUCAGGACAUUGCUAUAUUUCUUAGGAUCAUGAUGGCCUGAAGAGACCAAACUUGAGAAAGAACAGUUGCACCAUACCAUUUGGUUAUUAAAAUUGUCAUAACUGGGAGUCGAGACUCUUGGGAGCAAAUGUUUCAUCUCAUCUAGGUUUCUCUGGGCAUCAUCCCUGGAAAGCUCCACAAAAAUUACCUGCACACAUGAAAAAAAGGACGAGCUGGGUAAUAACGUGAAAGGUGGUGAAAAGACGCAUAACAUCAAUACUCUUAUUAUAAUUUGUAGUAACCUCAUCGAAAGGCUCCUUCGUAUCAGGCAUGUGCUUUGACAGUGGCAAGACAAAAUUGGCUGAAAAGAGGAAAACUUAGUAAAUUAGUACAGAUACAGAAAAGGAAACAAGAUCAAAGGUUCGCCCACUUCUAAAAUAUAUGUUGAUUAAACUAAAAGGAUAUUAAUGCAUCUAGAUGGAUACCUGUCAUCUGAUCAACUGCUUCAGCUGGUACAUCCUUGCCCAUCUCCUUGAAACGUUUUGCUGCCCUGGAGUUGAGUUCACUUGGCAAUGGGAACAUGACCACAGCAAUCUGUAGCAUACAACAUACAAGCAAUCCAACAUUACCAUUUGUUAAUUCAGUAGCAACUCGUACAAAAUGGCACGCCUCUCUUUUGGCAGCUUACUUUGCGGUAGUUUGCAAAUGGUCUCAACUUGCGAAUACGAGCACUUCUGUACACGUUUGUUUGGUCAAUGAUGUAAUUUCGAGGGACCUUUGCAGCUCUGUCCAGCAAUUUGUUGAAAAUCGCUGUAGCAUGAUCCCUCAAACGAUCAAAACGCUCGCCAUAAUUGUGCUUACGCAGCAAUCCUGGCACCUACAAAGAGUGUCAUAAACUCAAAAUCAAUUCAAAGUGAAACAACAUAUUAGUUUGAAGGUGAGCAGGAUCGUGGCAAAACCUUCAUUUGGUCCAAUGCAAGGUUGGUUCCAAGAAGGACGAAGCGCUUCUCCGGAUGUUCCUUGACCCACUGCUCUGCCCAAGUAGACUUCCCUGACGCUGGGAGACCAACCAUCAUCCUAACCUCACAUUCUCCCUGUUCUACAAACAUGGGGCCAGACACCGCAUUCCCAUCUGCAAAAGCUGAGCUCCACGGCUCAUAACCAUCAACCGGUUCCAGCCCGUCCUCCUUGCUAAACUGCAUCUCAACAAUAACAUUCUUCAGCAGAACAUGUGGAAAUAUUGCCGAUUCCCAUUGCAUUGGCCUCACAGGAGCAUCAACCAAACCAAGACCCUUCUCACUUGAAUCAAAAUCACACCUAUCAAAAAAAAACUAGCCCCUCCGUCUCAUAAUUCUUGUCUCAAAUUUGCCUAAAAAUGGAUUAUUUAUUUAUUUUAAACGUUUAGAUACAUGUAAUAUUUCAACAAGAAUUAUGAGACGGAGGGCGUACGAUUGAUCACCUGCAUUUGCAAAGAGCUUUAUGAUCCUUUGGAGCAUGUACAUCUGAAGAGUGCAAACAUGGCAAUUUUAUCAGGUGCCAAGGUUUCUUUUCAUUGCGUGAAUCUAAAAAAACAUAGUAACAAGAAAAACGCAGAAUACCGUAAAUUCAAACGGGAUUUUAACACUGAAACUUUUAUAGUGGUAAGGUAGGAACAGGAAUACUCUAACUGUUACAAAAUACUACAUCCAUUUCAAGUUGACUGUUACACUUUAUAAAGUUUGACCAAUCUUAUGGAAAAUAUAUGGUACCAAAUGAAAAUCAUUAGAUACAUCAUAAAACACACGGAGUAUUUCGUAAUACUCCUUCCGUUCCGAAAUAAGUGACAUGCCGGGAAGGAGAGAGUAUAUCUAAUGAUUUGACAUCUCGUUUGUUUUUCUAAAAAAAAGACAUGGUAUGUGUUAGAUCCUAAAUUAUGUUGUGGUUUUAGUACAAAUUUGAAAGCUAAAACCACGACAAAAAUUUAGGAUCGAAGGAAGUAAUAUAUUUUGCUCUGAUCUUAAUUAAAAUUAAAAAUAUUAAAUACCAAGAAAAGUCAUAGGGCUGAUAUAACAUUUUUGUUAUAUAUGGAAGUACUUACUGUCCGUUUUGACCAUCUUAUAAAAUCUGUCGGAAUCAAACCAGUCGUGGCGCAGUCAAGCCAAACAAAGCCAGGCACGGCAACGGAGCCAAGGAACACGAAGCUGCCUGCGUGCCGUGUGCCGUGCCGCGGCGUGCGAGAUCUGAAAGGCGCGAGGGAGGGAGUCGGCAAGAAGAAAUAAGUAAUUUUUUCGCGAAAGCCAGCGGUUGCCGCGCGUCCAAGUCCAGAUCUCGUCCCGGAUCCCAUGCCCGCCGGCGCCGCGCCGUUGUCCCACUCCCCCCCGCAGCCGGUGUGGUAAUAAUGGUGCGACCGGCGGGCCUCCUCGACCCGACGAGGCGGCGCCCGUUCCUCGACCAGCGGCGGCCGUCGUCCUUCAAGCGGCGGUGGCAGCAGCGGCCGCUGUGGGCCCGCCUCGCGCUGUCGCUCGUCCUGGCCCUCGCCUGCGUCCUCCUCCUCCUCGGCCUCGCCGGCUCCCCCGACCCGUCCUCCCCGCUCUCCACCGUGUCCUCCCGAUCCGCCACCACAGUCUCCUCCCCUCUCCUCCGUCAGGUAACUCGUCCCAUCUUACGCCAUUUUGGCGAAUCGUUUCCUCAUCUGGCUUGGAAGGACCCAAUAUUGUAGCUUUUAGUUGUUUUUUUUGAGAGAGGUGUAGCUUUUAGUUAUUACAACUGCUGCAUUUGCUACUUACUAGUUGUGUACACUAGAUUACUUGUGUAGGCUUAACUUAAAUCUUAUGAACUUUUUUAUGUGCAGAGAUCUUACCUCGAGGGCAUCACGGAUACACACAACAUGACAGAUGAAAUGCUGAGUGCCCACUCGUUUUCCCGUCAGCUUAUGGACCAGAUUUCUCUUGCAAAGACUUACAUUGUGGCCGCGAAAGAAGCCAGCAACCUGCAGUUUGUGGCUGAGCUUAGUGCGCUUGUACGGCGGGAGCAGAGCAUCCUCGCGCAAGCUGCAGCUCAUGGUAGCAUGGUAGUGAAGGAGGACGCAGAGAAGGCAAUUAGGGACAUGUCUGUGUUGUUCUUCCAGGCUCAACAGUUCCGGUAUGACAGUGCGGUCACCAUCAUGAAGUUGAAGGGUCAGAUUCAGUCCCUAGAGGAGAAGUCAAAAGCUGAGGCGGACAAGAGCACAAAGUAUGGGCAGAUUGCUGCUGAGGAGCUCCCAAAGGGACUUUAUUGCCUUGGUAUCCGGUUAACCAUGGAAUGGUUCAAGAGUACUGAGCUUCAGAGGAAGUUCUCAGAUAGGAGCCCAGCAGUGCAGAGUAAUCUAAGGGACAACAGCCUAUAUCAUUAUUGUGUUUUCUCGGACAAUAUUAUUGCUGUCUCUGUUGUCGUCAAUUCUACAACUCUGAACUCAAAGCAUCCUGAAAAGAUUGUCUUCCAUUUAGUGACAGAUGAAGUGAACUAUGCUCCAAUGAACGCGUGGUUUGCCAUGAAUGAUUACAGAGGGGCCAUUGUGGAGAUACAAAAGGUGGAGGAUUUCACCUGGCUCAAUGCCUCCUAUGUUCCUGUUCUUAAACAGCUCCAGGAUGCUGCUACACAGAAUUUCUACUUCUCCGGCAGUGGUAAUCGUGGAACACCAAUCAAAUUCAGGAAUCCGAAGUACUUAUCAAUGCUCAACCACCUGAGGUUUUACAUCCCAGAAAUCUAUCCUGAACUGCGUAAGGUGGUAUUUCUAGAUGAUGACAUUGUUGUUCAGAAGGACUUAUCAGAUUUGUUUACUAUCAACCUCAACGGCAACGUUAUGGGGGCAGUGGAGACUUGCAUGGAAACAUUCCACAGGUUCCACAAGUAUCUUAAUCAUUCUCAUCCCCUAAUCCGUGCUCAUUUUGAUCCUGAUGCUUGUGGCUGGGCAUUUGGUAUGAAUGUGCUCGAUCUUGUUGAAUGGAGGAACAAGAAUGUGACAGGUAUAUAUCAUUAUUGGCAGGAGCGCAAUGCUGAUCAUACCCUAUGGAAGCUUGGGUCUUUACCACCUGGGCUUCUUGCCUUUUAUGGCUUGGUUGAAGCAUUGGACCCAAAAUGGCAUGUCUUGGGGCUGGGGUACACAACUGUGGAUCCUGCUACCAUUAAGGAAGGUGCUGUAUUGCAUUACAAUGGAAAUAUGAAGCCAUGGCUGAAAAUUGGGAUGGAGAAGUACAAGGGCUUCUGGGACAACUAUGUGGACUAUUCACGUCCGCUGCUUCAACAGUGCUUCAUGCGCUGAUUAAUGUGUAUCAAUAUUAGAAUUUUUUGCGACCUUCCUGAUGGAAAUGAUUCAAAUCUGUAGCUUGAACAGUCCCACGUGAAUGGAAUUGAUUGACUUCAUUCACAAGUUACAACCUCGGAUUAAACAUGGACAGGUGUUUAUGCUGGUAUGUGUAGUUGAUGAAGUACAGCGACCACAGAUAUGACUGGCCACAGGUAAACAGCAGAAGAGUUAAGAUUGCCACUCAGUAGGCUGCUACAGCAUCGGUUACUUACAUUCAUAACUUGCAACCACCAAUGUAAUUUUUCGAUUUUGAUUUUUCCGGUGAGACAGAAGGAAGGACAUAAUUGUAGAAUUGAUUUAAAAUUCUUGGAAUGUCACAAGAAGUUUUGAGAUACAUAUUUAUUGGAUGUUCAGACAGAUCAACCUUUGUGGUUAUUUAUACAUUUUCAGAAAAAGAAUGAUGUUAAUAUCAAUUCCAGCUUCAUAAUUUAAAUUGCACUCAUAGCUGCUCAAUUUUGUUUUGCACUUUUUCUGCGUGAGUCCAAUAAAGCUUAUUUGCAGGUCACAGAUCCAUGCCUGCUGUGAAAAUAGGUCUGUUAGUACUGUUGUUCAUGUAUUCUUUAAGUUGGCGCAUCCAUUGUACUUGUACGGGUGCGAACCUGGCUUGACUACAUGUGGUUGCAGUAAUCAUACAUGAUAUAUUUAUGUUAAACCUUUUACAGAGAAAUUUAGUAUUGAAAGGACUUUCUAGCCACAGCUACCAUGCAGGUAAAUAUUAACAGGAGUAAAGUGUAACAUGGUGUACUAUUAGGAUCACAGAAGGAUCCACUUUCAAUGUUCAGAAAAGAAAUAUUAUUUAUGCUUCCAUCAGCUACAAACUGAUAACUAUAGCCGUAUCGCUAUUAUUUUCCCAUUUUUCUCUUCAGAGCUAUUCAGCAUAUCAUAAUGAUCUAGGUUCUGCCACUUAUAAAAUGCCUUUGCAAUUUUUCCUUUCUGUUCCUUCCACAAUUGUGUUGCAGUGAUUUUUCCAAACAGUUCAUUUAUGGGUUUGCUGUGGCAUCUCCAUCAAGAUUAUUGGCAGCAACAUCGGUCCUCUUCCUCCUUUUGGAUCUGGACCUCCUCCUCCUAUGCCUCUUAGUUGUUUCUUUUGUAUCAUCAUUAUUUGUGGACACACUGGGGUUUACAUCUGCAGGACGUGCCACAGGUUCCACAGCUUGCACUAUCUCUUGGUUGGCUUCACUCAAGCUAUCUUUUGAGGUCUUCAACCCACUGUCAGGGUUGAUUUCCUUUUCUGUCUCUCUAACAUCUUCUUUGUCUUCUUCCUUCUCAAGCAGCUUACUCUCUCUGCUGCGGUAGGUGGCAUCGCCUUGAGAGUCUUCUAAUUGUCUCUUGCCAUCUAUUUCUUCUUUGCUGACUUCUUGACUGCCUGCCGAUUGAUGAAGUUCAGAUGUCUCAGAGUGAUUUCCCUCUGAAGUAUCAUCUGGAUUUUGACUGCCACCACCUGUUUUCUGUUGUGCCCCAUCAUCUUCGAAAUUAGUUGUGAACUUGAUAAACUGUUCUUCUGAGGAACUAUCUUCUUGGUGGUUGCUCGCGGAUGUAAUGGUGUUGUGGGACUGCAGUUCUUCUGCUGGAGCAGGUACGGAAACACCGGAGUUUUCUUUUUCCUUGAGCAUCACGGUGUCAGGAGUUACAUCUUCGUUAUUUGUGCCCGCUACAAUUUUCUCAUCUUGGUGGUUGCUCUCCAAUGCAGUGGUGCUGUAGGAAUGCACUUCUUCUGCUGUAGCAGGUAUGGAAUCACUGGAGAUGACUUUUUCCUCUUGUAUCAUAGUGUCAGGAGUUACCUCUUCCUUGUUUGUGCCCGUUAAAGUUCUAUCAUCUUGUUGGUUGCUCUUUGAUGUAGUACUGGUGUUGUCAGAAUGAAGUUCUUCUGUUGGAGCAGGUGUGGUAGUAUCAGAGCUGGCAGAAUCCUUAACUGCUACAGUAUCAGAAAUUGUAUUUUCAUUGCUUGGGCUUAACACAAUGUUGUCCCUGACUUCUGUGUCUGGUUUCUUGUAGUCCUGGAACUUGGUCUUGAUCUCUUCAAGCUCGGCCUCUUUUUGUUGCAGGAGUUCCUUUAUAGCUGCCAUCUGGUCAGGGCCUGAAGCAGCUGCAAUCUCUUUCAUUUGGUUGAUAUGACUCUCUUUCUCCACAAGUGCUGCCUCCAAUUCUUUCUGGGUGUUGGUAAGAUAUGUGGUGGUGGUUUCUGAAUUCAUGACCUUGUUUUUCAGUUCUGUUCUCUCAAUACUCAGGAUAGACGUUUUAGCUUCCAGUUCAUCCACUUUUCUCCUCAUCUCUUUACUAAUUUCCUUUUCUUUCUGGCCAAAAUGAAAUAGCAAUGUCUGGUUAACGAGAUAUUGUUGAAUUUGAUAAUGGUUUUGUGAACAGACCGAUAAAAUUAUUUAUAAUGUGAUCGGCAAAUAGUUUAACCUUUGCAUGUGCUACAACUAUGGCAGUACUUACCAUCCACAAGUGAAUCAUUCAACAUCCAACCAUAUCCUUGUCAUAUCUAGUCUUCGCUUGAGCUUUUGCUAGCAUGCUAGUACUAACUAUAUCAGUGUUUAGCUACCACCGGCGAAUGAAUUUUCAUGUCAUAGCUAGUUGUAGCCUUGUAGGUUGUAAAUUAAGAGGAUGUUCAAUUGAAUAUUACAGUAAUGUUCUAACUCUCCAGCUCGAGGUUUCUGUAUAAAAGCUGUUAGCAUGGGAUGGAAAUCUUCUUCCGAGAUUUCUCGAUAUGAAUGUACGAUCUCCUUAUUUACAUUAUGCUCUUUGUUGGAUUAUAGGUAUCUUUUGUGAGUGCAAUUCUGCAGUGGUGUUAUCACCGUACUCCAGUUAAUUAGCCUGUGAUUAUCUGUGCAAGCCACACGCCAUAUUUGUAUUGCCUAUGAUCUAGGGAGCCUAAGUUAGUUUUAGUUCUUCGUAAUAGUGUGACCAUGAUGUUGAUGUAAACCCACUGUUAGAAUCCUUUAGCUACAGCCUGCAUGAUUGUUAAUGUAAGACUAUUUCAUCCACUUAAGAUGAUAACUAUAUUCAACUAUUCAUAAACCAGGAACAUUAAUUAUUUGGAACUGCAAAUCUUGGCGUGUAAAGUUUUUUUGGUUCGAUGUCGCAUUGGCAUCUGUGUUCUGGGACCACAUGGCAGUGUGACAAUGGAAUGACUGAUCCUCAAGCACACCUCAAAUUCUCAGUUUUUCAUAAGCCCCGGUACUGAAUAACAGGAGUAAAGUCAGUUAAGGUGGUUGGAGGUUUGGACUACUUCAGGUUUCAGUCAACGAAUCAUUAAAGUGGGGUAAUUAUAAUCUAGUCACUGUGCAAACAAAUGAGAUAUGGAGAUGAAACACUGUUCUUAAUUUCUUUAAUCAAAUAAGCACACAGAAAUAGCAAAGUAAUUCUGGUGCAUGUCAUGCCAGAAAUCGCAUCCAUACCUCCAGGAGGACUUGGAGGGAAAUGAGCUGCUGUUCACGUUCCUGGAGGAGGAUGGAGAAGACGCGCCGCUCCUUCAUCUUGUGCAGGAUGCCAACGCUCAGCAUGGCAGCGCCGAUGGCCAACAGCAACAGCAGCAAGUAGGGGAGCCUCUUUUUGUUGCUCAUUGUGUAGCUUCUUGAUCUGUGCUUACCUGCAUACAUGUCCUACCUGUAUCCACCCUCUUAUUAACAUCCUUUUUGGAUCUCCAGUCCUGCUCUGUUUAUUGCAGAAUGGGACAACUGUUGUGGCACAAGUAUGAAGAAACUGCACCUUCUUUUCAGUUGCUUGGAUCCUGGAAAGAAAAAGUUCAAUUGCUUAGGGAUGAAGGAAGAAGACAUUGGGAUGCUUCACUUACUUCAAGGUGAGGCACAUGCUCCUGAUAGUUUGAUUUAUUUGGGCCUUAGAGAGGCAGGAGUGUAAAGUUUGUCUCUCUUUGACUUUUCUUAGUGCCUUGUCAGAGUAAGACAUCGGCAAUAACCAUGUUACCUGCAGUUGCAUGUUAUCUCCCAGUAGAGAUAUCUUUGAUCAGAAGUUUAAUCGUAGAGCAGAGCCACAGUCCACAGUUGGCAUACACAUUACACACGGCAGCAUGGCAUUACCCAUCAAAUUCUGCAUUCUAUAAGCGCAAAAUAGACACACUUCCAUUUCUAAGCGAAAGCUGCAAAGCUGAUCAGAAUAAUAAUAAAAAAAGAAUCGAAGGUACUGAUCUUUUACCAGGCAAAACAAGUAAUUCAUGACCAAAUUUACUCGUUACAAGACAACUGGCGUCAUGUGUGUCAAAUCAAGGAAAUUUAUGAGAGUAUACUAUACAAUAUGUUGUCUAACAUUAAGCGACAAUAAUUGUAAAAAAAAUACCCUAGCACUUGAGCAAUAUGAAUUCAUUGUAUAUGGAAGAAUCCUCCAAGCUGAAGUGUUGUGACAGUCAUCUCUUCUGGAAUUUGCAAACUCAUACAAAAGGCACAUUAAUCCCUAACAUUUGCAACUAAUCCCUACAGUUCAAAGUUCCUAAUGAACUGGCAAGUCGAUGGCAGAAGUUAUCCAGUAGACAUGAUGCUUUCGUUGAAGUUCCUCCGAUCAAUGCAGCCAACUGAACUCUUCACAACCUUGAAUAUAGCUGCUGCUUUAAAUCACUCGUUGAUUUAACCAAAAGAAUCAUUUGCACAUCAUGUUUUCCUGGAUUAAGUAAGGAAUUCCAUUUGUUAGUUGGCACGUCAGAUGUAAAAACACCAACAGCAAGCAAAUUUGUGAAGUUGAUAAAUAUUAAGUACUCACUAACCAAUUUGAGUUAAGGAAGGGCCUAACCAUUCCGGCUAUGGAAAGUCUUCUGGUAACAAGUUGCUAUCUGACCUUCAGAACUUCUCCUAGGACAAGUGCCCACUGUGUCCAGUGUGUUCCUCCCUGCACCGAUACAUUUCAAGUGAGAAAGACCCAAAUUGGGAGUCCCUUAGAGUCACACAUUAAUAUUGUCUAUUAACCAGGAUUCAAGGAUGUCAAUUCUCAGCUGACCUGGCAGAAGACAGCGUAUGGUUCUCUUAAGGGACCAUCACAUGAUAGCUCACUUGUGCUUCCAUCCAUGAACGUCCCAUCAGCAAAAAUGACCUGAUUCAAGUGGACUAAUCAGAUAACAAACAUGUAGCAUUUGGAAUUGAAGCCAUUUUAGUUAGAAUUAAAUACUUGAAAUAAACUGCCCUAAAAUUUUAAUAGAAAGAAUAAUUAGAAGGAUCUCACAGAUCAGUGGUGGAAGGCAUAAACACACACCUCUGAAGCAUAGCCAGGAGUUUCCCCAGCAGUUGGUUUAACAAACGAUCCUACUGGGCAAGUUUGUUGAACAAUUUCACAGAAUGUCAUCAGUCUCUCCCUGUUUCCGAGCUCUACUGCCUGUCAGACAAACAAAAGAUCUUGUUUCUUCCUCGGUCUUAAAAUGCUGGUUGACCUUCUCUCAAGAUUAUCGAACUUUGAAUUAGAUGGUAUAUUCAGCCAGGUGUUUCUCCAUGAAAUUAAAACCUCAGAAGAGUACCAUUAGUUUUCUUAUUCUUCUCAAUUAAUGUUUAUUUUUGCAUUCUGUUUUACCUACAUCAGCUUUCUGAAUAUGUAAUACACUGUAACAGCUUUGCUGAUAUAUCAAAAACUCAUUUGUGGUGUAUCAUGCAUUGGUAGUUUGAUACAGUCAUAUCUUGCACGUGUGAACAUUAAUUUGCUAGUGAAUUAAUGUUGUUUUACUUAAAACUAACUUAAGGCAACCUGCACAAUAUCGUGGCGUGGAACCCUCGGAAGUGGUUGAACUCUAUAGCCCUUGGCUGACAUGACCUCUGCAAUUAGCAAACCUCCCUGUGGGAUAGUAUAAGUCUGUCAUUUGCAAUUGCAUCCAUAAUUUCCUAGUAGAGGUGAGAAUUGAGAAGCAACCUACUUUUACUGCCUCACCAACCAUCUGUGGUGCAAGAAACAAGCCCUGAAACAGUGCUCGCAUAACAUGGCCAGGUGCCGACCCAAACUCCACCCCAAGGCCAGGUGCAGAUAGGCGAGCAGCAGCUGCCGCAACCAAAUCUUUCUUCCCAGCAACAUAACCUCCACAAGGCGCAAUGGUUCCUCCGGGGUUCUUUAUCAAGCUACCAGCAAUCAAAUCUGCUCCCUGCCAUGCAAAUGCAAAAUUAGGUAAAAAUCUUUGUCAUCUAUAUGAUGUUCAUCAUGAACAUACCACCAUUGGAGGCUCUGAUGUCUCAACAAAUUCCCCAUAGCAGUUGUCCACCAUGACCUUGCAGUUUGGAUUUUGCAUCUGCAGUGAGAUCCAAACCAUGAACAAUGCCAGCACAUUAGUUAACUAGGUCUGCAAUAUGCUGGCCCCUAAAUUCAGAGCAUAAUCUUACCUUGAUCAAAUCGAUAGCUCUGCCAAUAUCAGCUACACCGAGGCUCUUGCGCCACAAAUAACCGCAAGACCUCUGUAUGAGCGCGCAUCCAGUCUCCGGUCUGACGGCACGUGCAAGAGCAUCCCAGUCAAGGCCACCAUCUGCCGCGAGCUACAACUGAAUCCCCAUUAGCAACACCCAUACAAACCACAAUGCAAGUUUGCAACACUCCGUAGCAGGUGUCAGAGAGGGGAGGAGAAUCGGCUCACAGGAACUUCUCGGUAGGUCACUCCAAAGUCCUUGAGUGAUCCCACGUUGGCCGAACCCCUGAUCCCAAUGACCUCCUCCAAUGUGUCGUACGGAGGCCCGGCCACUGCCAAGAGCUGCAGAAUUGAGGUUCUCAUCGAUCAGCUCUCCCUCGAUCCCCAGCAGAAUUUUUUUUUGUUUCGGUUCAUCGUGUUUUUCACCUCAUGUCCAGGCCGAAGGAGCGCGAACAGAGCGCAGGCGAUGGCGUGCGUGCCGGAGAAGAACUGGUAACGAGACAAGGCGUAAGAACUAAGAAGAGCUUGUCAUCACUGGGAGCUCAGCCAUGGAAAUUACCUGGGGGCGCACGAUGGCGGCCUCGGCGCCGACGACUUCGGCGAAGACGGAGUCGAGCACCUCCCGGCCGCCGCCGUCGUCGUGGCCGUACCCCGUCGACCCACCGAAAUGCUGCAAUUUACACGGACGCGCGCGGAUGGUUAUACGCGCUCGGUGGGUGGCAUUGGCAGCGAGCCAACAUCGGAGGCAGGGGGGGGGGGGGGGGGGGAGGAGAUAGAAGGGUUACGUGCGGGGCGACGCGGGCGGCGCGGAAGGCGGCGGAGACGCGGGAGGAGUUGAUGGCGAGCGCGCGGUCCACCUCCCGGAACUCCGCCUGCAGCGCCUCCACCGCGCGGGACACCUCCGGGUGGAACACUGCCGCGCACGCGCGCUGCCGCACCGCUCUCGUGGCGCGAGGCCGCCGCGCGAGGUGGGAGGAGGUCAAGGUGGUGGCUGUAGCCGUCGACAUCUCGCCGCCGGCGACAGCAACCCACACACUGAUUCCAACCGGCUUGGCUAGCUUCGGAUGUCAAACUUGACUGUUAUCCUCGCCGGUCGCUUCGGGCCUGAAAUGCCUUACUACUUCCCACGGGCAGCAGGCCCGGCCCAAUACAGUCCACGCACGACCGACCAGACGCAGUCCGUUCGGCCCGGCCCAUUGUUUGCGUUUCCGCAGCUGAUGCUUCAAGCAUCAGAAAUGCACACUGGCGCCUGCCUCCUUUCCUUUGCGUCCCUGUUGCUUACCUCCGGAUGCAAAGAACAGCAACCUCAACAGCAUGAGACGGUCAGAUGGGAACGAUUUUGAGGAGGAGAAGGUCGAGCAAACGGAGCUGUCAUUCUCUGCCGAAAGACGAACCACAACCAACAACAACUGUGGGCAGGGGCACGGAACGAGGCUAAGCAAAGCAUGCUCGUGAACAAGGAACACAAUGCUUGCACUCAAAGAAGGCUCCUCGCCCACAGCCUUUCUAUAUCAGCAUACCACACCUCGCUCCUGUGAAUCUUUACACCAGGCGCCGUGAGCGAUGAGAUCGAGGUGGCCAAUGGACUCCGCGGCGUUCCUGCUGGCAGUGGUGCUCGUUUCGGCGCCGGUGGCGCGGUCAUGGAGCACAGAGGGCCACAUGCUCACAUGCCAGAUCGCCCAGGUAAACCUUGCAAAGCCCGUCACCUAUGUUUAUUCAUCCGAUCAAACCAAAUACAUAGCAGCACUGAACUGUAUGGGUUUCGUUAAUUGCAGGAUCUGCUGGAACCUGCUGCCGCGGACGCCGUGAAGAACCUUCUACCCGAGGAGGCAGGCGGCGACCUGUCGGCGCUCUGCGUCUGGCCUGACCAGGUCAGGCACUGGUACAAGUACAAGUGGAGCAGCCCGCUGCACUUCAUCGACACCCCUGACCAGGCCUGCAGCUUCGUCUACUCGAGUACGUCGUUGGAAGAACUAGCAGUGUAAACUCUGUUCUGAAUUUCUAAAAUUGAUGGACUAGAUUGAGAUGGUGCAUAAUCGAUGAUUGUGGUUUCCGAUGGACAGGGGAUUGCCAUGACCCUAGCGGUGCCAAGGACAUGUGCGUCGCCGGUGCCAUCGCCAACUUCACGUCACAGCUUAUGCACUACAAACACGGCAGUGCUGAUCGCAAGUGUAAGUGGGGUGUUGAUCUGAACCAAUGUAAUUUCUGUGUCCUACUCCUUAAGCACCUUUUUUUUUUGCAUAUGGUUGUAACACAGAUAACUUGACUGAAGCCCUGUUAUUCUUGUCACACUUCAUGGGAGAUGUUCAUCAGGUAACUUUAAUCUGGUAUGCCUGGUCCUUGUAUAGAUCAGUCUCCAUCGACUAACAGUCUAACAUGAUUUCUUAUGUCCAUGUAGCCCAUGCAUGUGGGGUUCACAAGUGACCAAGGGGGGAAUUCAGUGAACCUACGCUGGUUUAAGCACAAAUCCAACCUUCAUCAUGUAAUCAACUCCCAUGAUCCUUAUACAGAAUUCCAUGUAACAGCAACCUGCGACUGAGCUUAACUCUGGAUUGCGUCUGGGAUGCUUUCAGGUAUGGGACAGGGAGAUCAUACUCACAGCUCUCGCUGAACACUAUGGCAAGGACAUGGAUGCAUUCCGAAAGGACCUUGAGCACAACAUCUCCAAAGUAAGUGAAAAUCCACAUGCACAAACAGACUCUCCCAAUCCAAGAAACAUGGGAUUUGCAGGCUAAUAUAUUCCCAAUGCUUCAUCCAGGGCGCAUGGUCCGACGACAUAUCUUCAUGGGGAGACUGCCAGGACCUCUUGUCUUGCCCAACCAAGUCAGUAUACAUUUUCCAGAACUCCCAAAUCAAGUUCUGAUAAAUAAAUAAUCCAAAGGAGAAAUACCUUUUUUUUUAUCAUUUGGAUUCGUGCGACAGGUACGCUACUGAAAGCAUAAGCUUGGCAUGCAAAUGGGGGUACAGCAGCGUCCAUGAUGGGGACACACUCUCUGGUAAACCACUAACAACUCCUACUUCCGGCUCCAUCUAACUCAUGUUUCGGUGUAGUUUAUGAAAUUCGAAUUCGAAUGGUAUCCUUGCCGUAAAAAUCUCCGAAUCUGAGUUUUGAAACAAUGACUGACGAGACGGAGCCAUUUUCUUGAAAUUCGCAGACGAUUACUUCGCUUCCAGGCUCCCGAUCGUGGCGCGACGGAUCGCGCAGGGGGGAGUGAGGCUGGCCAUGAUCCUGAACCGGGUCUUUGGGGAGAGCAACCGCGACGUCCUUGCGUGGCCGAACUUGGCUGCUGCUACCGAUGAACUGUAGAGUAACACAAGCCGACGUCCAUGCUGUAUACUCUGAUUUACUGAUGUCUUGCCCUGUAAUCCAAAAGGUUUCAUUGCAUCCAUGUUACGUGUGACCUGACCGCUUGCACAAUUUGGCUAGUGCUGACUUGUAUCUAAUCUAAGAUUAAUGGUGUUACGUGGGACCAGUUUAGUUGAGUUCCUGCGUGAGAUUAACGAUGUGUCUAAUCUGCACGUAGCAUGCGAGAUCUGUCCCCGUGGGCUGGUACAAGUUACCGACUCAUAAUACUAGAGACCAGAGUCCUACCUGGACACGACAAGCACAUCUCCGCUGCUCAUGUCCUAAUGAGGCUCAUAGUACUCUGACCAUUAACAACUCGUAAACUACCAAGUUUGGAUUAUUUCCAACAAUCACUUCCUAAUCCAAACUUGUCAACUCAUGGACAUGACUUAACGUAUGAUCCAUUGAAGAUCCCAGAUCGGCGGCGUUACCCGCCGGCGUCACCGCCUACUGCCGCCGCCAGCGCCAGGUGAACUUGGAAGGCUUCACUGAGGAUCACCUCAAUCUCGCCGGCGCUCUGUAAUCUUUUUUUACAGCUAUUUCAGUUUGUUAUGUCCGGUUCAGUAGUUAUAAGUUUCAGUAGCUAAUAAAUCGUCCGAGUGUGGACUUUUUCGGCCGUGCAAUGUAACGGCUUGGAACACCUUUACCUUCUUUCUAUUAUGUAGUUGGACCUCGCUGCGAUCGGGACGUGGGAUGGCACGUCAUUAGUGGGUCAAAGUGGGCUAGUAUGUCUGUUAGCGCAUAGUUCGCAUGUAAUCCGGGAGAAUAAAAAGAACUCUUGCGUCUCCUCGUGUGUGUGUGCCCAGUGUAGAUGCGUUCGUGUGAUGGUGUGCAAGGACCUGUUGUUCUACCCUGCCGUAUGAUGAGUACAUUUGCAGAGAAGUUGUUAGUUAUGUGCCUGGGCCGGGGACAGCCCAAACCUUCCUUCCUUUAUUUUACCCUCGCCUGGGCCUUGGCCCAGCCUCCUUGAUCGAUCGAUCGCUCGCGGCCGCAACACCCGCAGGCAGCAGGCUCCGGCGCCGCCGCGGCUUAAUCAAUUCUUCGGAGUUCCCUUCCAAGUUCCAAACAUGCUCCGUUUCGCUUCAUCGAAGAGCCCUAGCCAUUUGUCUCCUCCAUAAAUACACCAAAAACCCCAAGCCCGAAUCCUUCAGUCACACACACCACCGGCCGGCUCGGAUUUCCGUCCCCGAAGGGCCGCUCCGCUUCCGAUCUGCUUCGCCGACUCCGCGCGCGCUAGGUGAGCGAUUUCGAGUCGAUUCCUUCCACCCACAAGCUUCUCUAGCUACCUCCAUGGCAUGCCCGCCCUCGCGACUUCCUGAGGCCGCUGGGGGCUCGCAACCGUGAACACGCUGAUUAUUUGUGUUGUAGGCCAAUCGUAGUAUUAUUCUAGAUAUGCAUGUUUAGUUACCAGUUCAAAACAUUACUCUUGUGUGCAAGCUUCUGUUUGGAUAUGUUAUACUAGCUAGUGUGCAAAUAAUCAGCAGUAGAUUUUAUCAUGUGGUUGAUGAGGAUCAUUGUUUGUUAUUUCCUGAUGAGUUAUUGGAUAGUUAAUACCUUGUACUAAGAGUAGCUUUCUGGUAUCAUUAGAAAUUUAGAAUCCAUGCUUUAAGUAAAAAAAAAAGAUGUGCUUCUUGUGUUGUUGCAGUUUAGUUUUUCUUAAGUAAAUUAUACUUCUGGUUUUAAUUUACAUUGCUUGUGUGUGUUUAACGAGCACGUUAGGACUUGCUUGUUUAUGGGAUGAUUGUACUACCUUGUUUUAGCAUUGCAAAGGUUUUAAGUUGUAUAUCUAUGGCACCAUCUUUGGCAUUGUCCUUUAGUCAGAACGCUAGAACCCAGCUAUCAAUGGAAGCCUUCUUAUACUAGCUACAGAAUUAAGAUAUGUGGCACGAGUAUAUAUAUAUGAGUUGUGGAUAUGAUUGUACCUUCAAAUUUGUCCAUUUCUUCUUUCUAAAUAACAAGCUUUGUGUAUCUAGUGGCUAUCUUUAGCAUUUAACUGACUCAGCUAUCAGUGGACGCCUUCUCUACGCUUUGACAGUUUGACUGACAUCUACCUUCUCUGGUUCUCCAAGUAAUGCAUUGCAUCUAGCCACAAAGGGACUGGUACGCCCGGUGGCACCACUGCUUGCUCACCCUCCUUUUCAUCUAUACUACCUCAGCAGAGCACACCAGCGAAGGCUAGUGCGUGUGCGUGGCCAUGGAGGCUCUGCGGGCGACCACCGCACGUCUCUUCGAGCUCGCCAGGGCCGUCCACCCGCGACGCGCAGCUCUGAAGCUCCUCAGGCAGCGAGUGACGCUCGCCCUGGUGAUCGCCAAUCUGGACCGCGCGUUCUGCGCCGACCUGAACAAGGCGGUCACCGAGGUCUGCGACGCCUUCAGCCGCGACGCCGGCGAGGCGGCCGACCUCGCGGCUCGCCUUGACGCCAUGCGCCGCGGCGGCAACGGCAACGGCAAUGGCGGCGUCCCUGCCGUGGCCUCCUCUCCGCUCCUGGCUUCCAUUGCCGGCCUCUCCGGAGACGGCCUCUACCGUGCUCUGAUGGCCCUGCAGCUCCCCGCGGCCGCGCCGGCGGAUGUCCACCUCGAGGCCGCUCUGGCCGCAAAGCGCUUAACCCUGCGCGACAGGCUGGACUCGUUCAUCGACAUCCUUGGAGCGAAGAUCGGCGACGUGCCGGAGCCAGAGGCCUGCACCCGCUUCUUGGCCUUCCUGGACCGCCACAUGAGCUUGGACAGCUACAUUGAGGCGCACCUCAAUCUCGCCGGCGCUCCACCACCUGCAGCUAGCUAAGUAAUGAUGGUCGUCCACAGGUGCAGCUCGCCGUCCACAAGUUAGCUGCACACCAGAAACAAGAGGAGGGCUUGAUGCAUGAUCCUUCAUGGUUGAGCCAGCCAACAAUUGUUUACUUACGUCUCUAUGUAUGCUAUGCUAUUUCAGUAUUUCUGAUCAGUGCUGGAUCGUGCAAGUCUAUGUUAAGUACGUAGUACCAGUACUAGCUAGCCUGCGUGUCAUGCUAUAAUUUCGUUUCAAGACAUUUGUAAUGUAUGUUCGUCAUUAUAUCUGUUCCCUAAUUAAUCUAUGUUGCCUUACCACAGCACAUGCUCCAUGCACUAUAUGAAUGUACUCUCCCCCAUGAAACGUAAGAUUAGCCCUUGGAGAAUUUGUUUUAGUGCUAUCCCCCAUCGCAGUUAAAUGGAUCUAUGCUUAACAAAAGCCCCCAAAAAAAAAACCGGCGUCGCGGUGAGAAAAGAAAAGGCCGUAAAAUCUGCCAGCUGUGGUAUCAUUAUAAGGACGGAUGGGACGCAUGGCAGCACAGUUGGCCCUUGCAGACAGCAUUUGUAGCUCUCCGUGCUGACUUUCUCCAACUCUGUGGUCAAAGCAAUGAAGAACUCUCUGCAUGGCUACGCUUGCAUAGAGCGUCAGAGCUCUCACCUAGCCAAGCAAGGUAGAGGCGUCUUCUGCUGCCCUCAAGCCUCUGACUGCAAGCAACAUUUCUCUCACGCAAGCUCAUUUAUUUAGACUUGUCAAUGCAUCUACACAAUGUAAUGUAUGUUUGGGAUCAUUAUGUUCCCUGAUUAAUCUAUGCUAAUUUAUAUCUCCUUUAGUUUCACUCCAUAUUUGUUUCGUACGUAUGACUUGGCCCAGGCCUAGCAGUGCGUCGCAGUUAACUGGAUCUGUGGCUGUCCACUCCUGCAGAUUUACGGACUGACGGGACGCUCGAUCGGAUGUCAGGUGCGGCCCAAGCUUUGACCUCGCACUCUGUGGCUGUCCACUCCUGCAGAGAGAGCAUUCGUAGCUCUCCACUGUCCAGUUCUCCAACUCUAUGGUCAAAGUGACAAGACCCCUGCCAGGCUAGUCUUCUCGUGCUGCCCAAGCAUUGACUUUUCACACUGCAAGCUCUGACUAGUCCAAGACCGCACAGCUCACACUGCAACCAACAUUAUUUCCCUCACGCAAGCUCGCUCCUUAAUUGGUAUCCUCAGCGAAGAAUCUACACGCGGGAGAAAAGGGUCGCUAGCUCGCCGCUUGUUUGUAUGUUCGUUGCAGAGUGGAGUAUACUCACUCAGAAAUAUUCACGCGUGCCUCUCUACAAAAUGGAAAGCGCUAGCGACAUAAAUGUGUAUCCUGGGUAGAUCUGUUAUCAUAAUAACAUUCCUUUUUUAUAGGCUUAAAAGACUGUUUAAAGGGACUGGCAGGCACCACGGCUCACCCAGCUCAGUCACCCUCAUUUUAAUCCACCUCAUCAGUGCACACCACAACUCCACAAGUCAAUCCGAUCGGCGGCGAGCGAAAACCCAGUGCGUGCACGUACUGUUGGUGUUUGCGGCCAUGGUCUUGGUCACGGGGCCCUUGUUCCUGUCUUCCUGACCACCAUGCGUCUGCUGGUGCUCGCCAGGGACGCCCGCCCGCGGCGCGACGCUCUGGAGCGCCUCGCGGACCUGGUGAUCCCCUCGCUCUCCUGCGUCGCCUUCCACCCCGCCGCCUCCGCCGACUUCAACAGGGCCGUCACGAGAGUUCUGCGACGCCUUCAACGCCGCCGACUGCCAACUGUACUUCACAAAAACACACAAAACCCCCGGCGUACUGCCAACUGUGGUGUCAUUAUGAACUGACGGGACUGCAUUGGUAGCUCUCCGUUCGGACUUUCUCAGGAAGCGACGAAGAAGCCUGCAAGGCUAAGCUUGCAUAGAGCAUUGAUAGCUCUCCGUUCCGACGUUCUCCAACUAUGUGGCCAAAGCGAUGUGACCCUUCAGAGCUGUAACACCCAGGCAAAGAGGGGUUCUCCCUGCUGCCCUGAAAGCCUCUGACUGCAAGCAACAAUUUUCUCACGCAAACUCAUUUUGGGCCCCCUGUUUAAAGCACCUGUCACCACGGCCCAGUAGCACACCCUGCAUUUCGCGCGAUCCGUUCGGCAGCGAGCAAAUUAAGCCGACACCGAGAGAGACCAGUGCGUACGCGUUCGUGGCGGGCCAAUGGAGGCUCUGCAGGCGACCAUCGUCCGUCUCAGCGAGCUGGCCCGGUACGCCCGUCCGCGGCGCGAAGCCGUGCAGCGCCUCAGGGAGCGGCUGGCGCUCGCCAUGGCGCGCGCAAGGACGGACGGCGCCUUCCGCGCGCGUCUCACCAAGGCGUUCGACGAGUUCUGCGACGCCCUCGGCGCCGGCGCCUGUAAGCUUGCCGACCUCGCGGCUCGCCUCCAUGACGCCAGGCGCAGCCGCGGCGUUGGCGACCCUUCUCCCGCGGCCGUGGCCGCGUUUCGGCUCCCGGCGGCUACCUUUGACGGACUCUCCGGAGUCCGUCUCUACCGUGCUCUGAAGGCUCUGCAGCUCCCCGCGGCCGCCCCGGCGGAUGCCCACCUCGCGGCCGCGCUCGCCGCGCAGCGCUUCGUGAUGCAGGAUAAGCUGGACGCGUUCGUCGACGCCCUUGGAGCCAAAGUCGGCGUGGUGCCGGAGCCGGCGGCCGUCCGCCGCUGCGGCGCCUUCCUCCACCGCCAGAUGAGGUUGGAGAACUUAAUCGAAGCGCACAUCAGUCUCGCCGCCGCUGCACCGGCCACCGGCUAGUUGAAUGAUGGUCGUGCAUUCCUGGGUGCCGCUCGCCGUCUAACAAGCUGGGGCUGCUGGGCAGCUGGCUGCAGACAGGAGGCAAGAGGAGGGCUUGAUGAUGUGAUGCGUUCAUCGUUGAGACAACAAUUAGGAGUAUUUACUUAUGUCACUGUAAUUUCACAGGAUAACUGGUUGAAGAAAUGAAGCAAGCCCACGAAACCACUCACUCUGAGACAAAUUGAUACAAAAAUUGUGGUUCUGCGGACGGUUUUCGUUAACUGUGGCUCAAAGACACGACUAUCCCAAAAACUAUGAUUUUGUGAAAAAUUACUCUUUUAAAAAAGUUGGAGAUAUCUAGGUUGCUUGAUUUUUAAACAAAAUAUUUAAAUCUAAGUUGACGAAUCGUAUACGAUGGACUAGUAUGUAUAGAUGUCAUUUUACCUUUUUUGUUUUCGGUUUUUUUAUAUAUUUAAGUUGUCUGAUUUUAGUUAGAAAUAACUUGAUUUCUCGGCCGUUGGAUAUGAUUUGUGCUUUAAGAUUCGAAAUAGAUGACGAAAAGAGUAAAAUGAGACCUAGAUACUAUUCAUUGGUUCUAAUUCGUCAACUUAGAUUUAAAUCUUUUGCUCAAAAUCAGACAACUUAGAUCCAGGUACGCCCUAUUUUUACCACACGUUUUUAAUCUUAAAGCACGACACAAUUUGCAUCGUCCCUUGGUCAGCACCCGCCACGCGCCAGAACCUGGCUAUAUCCUUCACUGCACUUUGACCGACAUACAAGUACUAACCCUUCUCGGCUUCUCCCAACAAUAAUGCGUUCCGUCUUCCCCCAUGCAUUUGAACUCCGUACGUAGUGUGAGCUCAGCACAAUUUGCAUCCCUAUUUAAAGGGACCGGCACCUCGAUCCAUCAGCAGCGCACACACCACCGGUUGAUCCGAUCGGCAGCUAGCGAGCAGAGAGCAGAGACUGCGAAUUGCUGGCCAUGGACGCUUUGCGGGCGGCCACCGAACGUCUCCGCGAGCUCGCCAGGGACGCCGACCCGGGGCCCGAAUCUCUGGCGCGCCUCAAUGCCCUGGUGACGCGCGUCCUGUCGUCGGAAACCUCUCCGGCCCGCCUGGCGUGGCUCAACAAGAGUAUAGGCGAAAUCUGCGACGGCUUCAGCCGCGACGCCGGCAAGGCGGCCGCCCUCGCGGCUCGCCUUGACGCCAUUCGCCGCGCCGGCGGCGGCGGCGGCGGCGGCACUCCUGUGGCCUCCUCGUCUCCGCUCCUGGCUUCCCUCGCCGGCCUCUCCGUAGACGAUCUCUACCGUGCGCUCAUGGCCCUGAAGCUCCCCGCGGCCGCCCCGGCGGACGCCCACCUCGAGGCCGCACUCGCCGCGCAGCGGCUGGACCUGCGUUACAGGCUCGACGCGUUCCUCGUCGCCUUUGAAGUUGAAGGUCCCAUCGAAUUCGUGGCCGCCCUCACCCACGCCGCCGGCUACCUCCGCCGCCUGGCGAUCUUGGACUCUUUCGUUGAGAAGCACGCCAAUCUCGCCGGCGCCGCUCCACCACCAGCUAAUUAAUGAUGGUCGUCGUCCGUCGAUGCGGCUGGCUCGCCAUCAACAAGCUAGCUAGCUGCGUCUGCGUGCAGACCAGAAGCAAGAGGGAGGGGCUCCCGUUAUGAUUCUUCAUCGUGUUGAGCCAACCAACAAUUAUUUAUGUCUUUCUCUCUAUUAUGACAUAUGCUAUUUCUCAGUGCUGUAUCGAUCGAUCAAAUCUAUGUUACUGUAAUUCUGAAGUACUAUUCUCCGUCUUCGUGUUUGCGUGUGCUGCUAUAAUUUCGUUUGAAGACAUUGUAAUAUUUGGUAUGGUUCUCACUAUGUUCCUUAUAUGUUGCUUUGGUAUUACUAGUAUACAUACUUCAUGCACCAAGAAAGUAUUUUUUUCCUCACGUUUAGUUUCAUUUCUGAUAUGGUACACUCAAAAGAAAAAACAUAAGGUCCCAUAAGAUCCGUGUUUAAGAACUCUGAAAUUAGUAAGCUUCUGAAGAGGUGAUGGUUGGGAUAUCAAAAAGAGGUCUUGGAAUUAGAAAUUUAAGAACUCUGAAUAUCUGUUUGCUCUCUAAAUGGUGGUUGAAAUUGGAACAUGGAGAUGGGAUUCUGCAGCAAAUUAUUAGGGCGUGUAAAAAGAUGUGACGUCAGCCUUUUCUUAAACUUGCCAUGUAGGAUAAUUGCUGAUGUGAAAGAGAUAGACGUGAAGGAAAAGCAUGAGCCUUCUCUUAGUUAAAAGAUGAUCUUUUCACAAGAAGGAUAAUGCAAAGAAAAGACAAAUUCUUCAUCGUACUGGAUUUCACCUUUUUUUAACAUUUAUUUAAUUAAUUUUAUUUAUGGAUUUAGAUAGUUGGCAGCCAAGUAGCAAUGCUUGGCCCACCGAAAAAAUCAGUGUGUUAACCCAUCAGCAGGGAACUCUUAAAAAAUCAAUUAAAAUGAUCUAAAAGGACAAUCAAUUGUCAUGAACAUAAAUAAUUUUCGAAGACUGUUGCAACGCACACGAUACUUAGCUAGUACGUUUUUAUAUACUCUUGCUUACGAAGCUAAGUAAGGAUACCUUACAAUUUUGUACAAACGGGUAAUCUACUAGCAGAAUCGAACUAGGAUCUUUUUAAUAUAUUCUCAAGUGAGACAAUUGUCAAUGGCGCAAUAUCUGCAAGCAUGUGGGAUUUUGUAUUUAAUUCAAUGAAGAGUGUUUCUCUAUGUUUGAGUGUGUCGUUUACUUAUUUGUAUACAAAUGAAUACGCAUACGGUUCAGAAGACAAUAUUUGCGCAUUAGUAGAACCCGUUCACCGGAGUGGUUUCAUUGCAGGGUUUUGCUAUUCUACUCCCUCCGUCCAAUAAUAUGGGGCAUAUUAGGGUUCGGUUGACCAACCCUUUGAUCACAAAUUACUUCAUAAAUAUGUGACUAAUGUGAUCAAAAUCAUUACCAUAAGUAAAUAUCCUUGAGUAGGAAUAUAAUGGAUAUGAAUUUAUGUCAUAUAAUCAUAUAUUAAUAAAGUAAUUUGUGAUCAAAGUAUUGGUCAAAGGAAAACUAAUACGCCACAUAUUGUCGGACGGAGGUAGUAGUUAGAAACAAGUCGAUGUGUUUGGCAGUCGGCACAUGAGAGAUGAGAUAGCGGGGAUGACAUCCAUAUUUUAAUCCAGCGGCUCUGAUACGUUGACUGAGAUUUAAUCAUUUGUCUUAAAAAUCAGGUGACUGAGAUAUAGUCACACUCUGUAAUGUUUCACUUGAAAUUAAAUAAAGUUAACUUGAAAUUAAUUUUUCACGGAUAAGUACAGAUGCAAGCCCAAUUCAGGUGAAAGUAUAAAUUACGCUCGCGAGUGCAGAUGCGUGUAGAUGCAAGGACCUGUUGUUCUACCCAUUUACAUUCAGAGAAGUCGUCAGUCAUGUUAUCAAUCUUGGCUUGCAGUUGCAUCCAUCGUAGGAGUACGUCCACGCUACCGGCCUUCGAGGUUUGUAAUGGUCAGCUCGCCGCUGCCGGAGGUGACCACCUCUUCUUGCACGCCGAUAAGGGCCGCCGCCGGAUUGCUCAUUGGUGUGCAGACCACCGGCCGCCGCGGCCGCCCCGGCGCCUGUUGGUGCGACAGCAUCUGGAUCACGGCGGCCAUGGGAGGCCGUUGGCUGGGGCUCUCCUGAACGCACAGCAGCCCAACCUGGAUGCACGUGGCGGCCUGCUCCAUCUCCGCUGGCCCGCAGCCGCCGCGCACGGUCGGGUCAAGGAGCUCCAGGCUCCUGUCUUCUUCAAAUAGCUUCCAUGCCUGCACGCAUGAGCAAGAAACUCUCAAUCUGUCAAAGUCGAUCCAAUUUUAUUGUUUCCUCUGUAUAACUGUAUUUGCAUUUGCAGGAUGUACGGUAAGGUGUUUGAUUGCUUGCUUACGUGGGCUAUGAGGUUGAAACUCCGUUGGUUCCUCCUGCCACCGACGAUCUCCAGCAACAGCACGCCGAAGCUGUACACGUCCUGCAUGAACGACACCAUUCCGCCCAUGGCGUACUCCGGUGACAUGUAACCACUGCAAACGGUCAGGAGAUGGUAAGCAAACUAGCAAUGUUAGGCAAAGUAGCAAAGUUGCAUCAAUUGCUUACUAUGUGCCAACAAUCCUCUCCGUGACCGUCGACGAGCAGUCCAGAUCACCAAGUCCGGCGUUGCUGCUGCUGCUGCUGAAAAUCCUGGCGAUGCCGAAAUCCGAUAUCUUGGCCACCAUGUCCCCGUCGAGGAGGACGUUGGCGGCCUUGAGGUCCCGGUGGAUCAUGGUGUGCCUCGAAUCCUGGUGGAGGUAGACAAGCCCUCUGGCGACGCCCAAGAUGAUCUCCAUCCUCGUUCUCCAGCUCAACGACGCACGCCUCCUCGCAUCUGCUGACAUUUUUACUCUACUGAUGAUCAGCAGAACAAUGGUUCAAACCCCUGCAGAUAGGCACGGAAACGUACCGAAAAUGAAGGCGUCGAGGCUCUUGUUGCUCAUGUACUCGUAGACGAGGAUCCUCUCGGAGCCAUGGAUGCAGCAGCCGAGCAGGCGCACCAGGUUGCGGUGCUGCAGCUUGGCGAUCAUCUCCACCUCGUUCAUGAACUCCUUGAAGCCCUGCAUCUUGUUCUCCGCCGACAGCUUCUUCACUGCGACUUCCUGCCCGUCUGACAGUCGGCCCUAUCACAUUAAUUCGCAGGUCCAGUUAAUUAACAGUAAAACAUUUUGUCAUCCAAGAUUAGUAGACACAGCAUUCUAUUUCUAUAUAUUCUAACCUUGUAAACAAUGCCGAAGCCACCGCGGCCGAUCUCGUUCCCGGGGCAGAAUCCGUCCGUAGCGGCUCUGAUGAUCUCGAGCUGGUACGUCGGGCAUUCGUGGAAUGCUUCACCAAACAUGGGGGCUGACAUAGCAAGAAAGGAUUAGGUUCAGAUUUACCCUCCUCCCCACUGAAAUGGAAUGCACCAAGGUGUAGUAGGGAUUAACUGACCUUGUUUACUGCUGCGCCAUGCCUUUCUCCUUCUCCAAAUCAGACAGCCAAGCGAUAGCAGAAGCAGCGCGAACCCUGUAGCCACCGCUGCGAUGACCCCGACCAGCUUGUUGGUCUUAGUAGUUGCCUCUGAAGAUGGCAGCCGUAUAGUUUGUCAGUGUCAGAGUUAAAUGCAGGAAGAACAAUCUCUUCUCACUGAUUUGUUGAAUGACUUGUAGAGAAAACACUGAACAUCGUUCAGUUCCGUGCAUGCACAAAGUCCGGUUUCCUGACUUUGGUUUGGAAGUUCCAACCAACACGUGCGGUAUUAUAUGUUUCUUCUGACGAUAAUGUCUGAAACCAUUGUUCUUCAAGUCAAAGCUAAGGGGGGUGUUUUAUAUGGCCAGCCGGGUGCUUUGACUAAAAAAAAGCAUAUGUGUACGUUUGAGAAUGCUGAACAAAUAAGUAGAAUAAGGACCUGCAAACUUUGGACCUUUAACAUUCGUUUUUUUUAAAAUCCUUGUCCCAAUUUUCAAUUUGGAGUGGACUUGACUGGGUAGAAGAAGCAAAGUCAAACACGAGCAUCCAAGAAUUAACCCCCAAAGCUCCCAUUGCAAGAUAAAAUCUUACCACUAACAACUGAUUUGGUGGCAAAUCUUAUUGCUUCCUAAAAUUGAUUCGCUGUGCCUUCAAUUUUUUUUUUCUGAAAAGAAGGUCAUCCCCGUUUUCUGUAUCGAUCGAUGCACACAGUCAUAAAUUAUUAAAUAAGCGGUUGCAAACUAGAUUCUCGAAGAACGUACAGAAGUAAACACUGAAAAACAACAGAAAUGCGUCGAUCCUGGAAGACGAAAUGAGCACUUGUGAAUGGAGAAGCAGGGAGAGAUCGAUACAUACCUAGGUCCGACUUCGCGAGCCUGACGAAGAGAUCCUGCCCAGGCUCCACGAACCGCGUGUCCACGAGGUCGCCGAACCACUGUACGCAGCCGGUCCCGCCGCCCCGGAUGUCCGCCGCCGCGUACGCCGUGCAGGAGCAGUUAGCCAGGCACCUCCGCCCGCACUCCUCCAGCGUGGCGCCCGCGUCGACAACACUCCCGUGCGUCUCCGGCAGCUUCACACCACGCAGCACGUAAAACCCAUCCUCUUCCACCUCUUCUUCUUCCCCAGCUCCGGCGCACUUCCGCUGCAGCGGCGUGACCCGUGCGCAGCCCCCGGACGCGUUCCGCAUGCGCCACUCGGCCGGCGACCUCGGCGCGAACCCCUUGACGCAGCUGCAAACCACGGCGUCCACCACGUUGCACACCCCGAAGGCCCCGCAGAGCCCGUAGGUGUCGCACCGGUCUCUCGGCCCCGUCCAGAAGCUGCUCCACGCCGCCGACGGCCCGUCCCACACCAUCCGCUGCAUCACCCCCGACUCGUUCAGCACCACGCGGGACAUCAUCUGGGAGCCGCCCACCACGCGGUCCCGGAACGUGUAGGAGACCUCGCUGCCGGGUGCAUUGGUGAAGCGGAACUCGAACAUGUCCUCGAACGUCGUCAUCUCCGGGAUCCCGCUGAACCGCACCCCGUUCCACGGCCCCGUCCUGUACGUCUUCUUGCUCCGCCCGUGCCCGUCGUCGGAGUCCGUCGUCUUCCAGACGUGCAGCUCGGGCGAGCCGGCCGUGUCCAUCACGUAGCGGAAGGCUCCGGGGGACGGGUCGUCGGCGCCGCGCCAGGACGAGAGGGACCAAAGCGCGCCCGUCCGGAGGUCCUUCCCGGACCGCAUCCCCGACAGGAACGUGUUGGUCGGGUGCUCGAAGCUCUGCCACAGGAUCACCGCCUGCCGUUGUUGUUCUUCAUCCGUGGCGGCCACCACGACCAGGUUGCCGUUGUCCUGGAGCUGCGCCUCCGCCUUCACGGCCGCACCGGCGGAAGAGGAAUUCGACGACCAGAUGGUCUCGUUGUUUCUCGAGGCGUCGAGGAGGACGAGGCUCCCGCGGGCGGUGAGCGCCAGGACGGCGGAGGAAGGGGUGUUUAGAGGGCGUUCGCGGUUGGCGACCCAGACGACGGCGGCCGGGGAGACCGUGAACCAGAUGCCGAGGAACCACUUGGUGUUGUUGGCGAGGGGGAAGAGGCCCAGCCGGAACACGUCGCUGGGGGAGACCAGCUGAGGCUGCUCGCCGCCGGCGAUGGCGCUCGACUGGGUCAACGUGCUGCCGGCGGCCGAGGCUGGGACGAGGAAGUACACGGACAGCAGCACGAGAGCGAGGAGGAAGAGUGCCGGCGAUUGGGUCGGGCUCUUGCUCAUGGUCUUCGCUCCUGCUGCCCGUGCGGAUUGAAAAAAAAUGCGCGAGUACUGAAGACCGCUGCUGCACCCGGAGGAGAAUAUAUAUCAUCCAGUUUUAGACAUUUCCGACAGAGAGUUGUGUCAGUGUAUGUCUGUAUGGACUUAAACAAAUUGUUCCUACACUGACACGAUUCAGAACCGAAUCCAUUAACACCAACCAGUUGCAACACCGUACUUACAGUUUCAGGCCAAGCAAAGUUGUUGUGUGGACUAGAACAACUUGCAUAUAUUCAGUACAAGGACUCGUGUGUUUACGUACACAUUUCCGUUUUUCAGGAAUCAGCUGGGAAGUUUCCCUCGUUCUAAUUAAGUACGAUAUGGACUGUCGUGAUCAAGGAGAUGCCAAUGUAUGGCUCGGAUCGAUCGUUCUAUUCUUCGGUUAGGAUUUAUGACAAACUGUAGAAAAAGAAUUGGCAAGUCCUAGAGCAAGUGAGACGUCCAUGCCAACAAAGAAUUGACACAGUGAAAUGUUUUGGCACUAAUAUUCUUUUCAUUCGCUUCGCUCGGACCAAUCUACCCACUACGUACCUAAUCGACUUCUUGGCUGGCUGCCUCCGACGAGAAAGGACGAAUUAUAGGAGCGCACGUCAGCUAGAUUGCUGACUCGUCUUAUGACUAAUGGUGGCAUUUGCCAAGUUGUUUCGUUGUCUAUAGAUGCAGCAAUCAAGGAUUCUUGGUCAGUACUCUUUCUGCUGACCGGUGGUCUGACAUUAAUCUGACCUCCAUUUUACAAUCACCUUAUGUUACCAGGAUAAGCAGUGCGCCAAUUCAAUCAUAUCAUCGGGUUCAGCGUCAGUGUCAGUUUAUAGAACUUGUUUUCAUGCGACUGUUAAACUGGGUUAUGUAAGGUUCUUUAAACCUAUACUUUUGUGAAAGUUAAACUGAGGUAAUCAUGUGUUGGUUAGUACUCUCUCUUUUCCUAAAUACUUGUCGUGAGUAUUUAGGAAUGGAGGGAGUAUAAUUUUUCCAUGUGCUAGUGAUCUGUGUUAAUCUGUGGCUUCUAAACAGUUUUACCUUUUUAGUGACCUGCAUAAGAAGAAUUUUGCCAUGUGCAAAUCUGGAGGUUUUCUAUAAACUGAUCACACCCAGCAAAAUUCUGCAUUUAUGCGUACUGUUCUUUUUUGGCAUUUAUUGCAUAUACUUGUGGAUUCAUAUGUGGAUUACCAGUUUUUUUGUGCCUUCCAACAAGGAUUCAAGUCACCUCAACCCAUGGACUGCAGUGGCUAAACAGUCUCUCAGUUGAACUUUUAAGGCCAGUCCAGUACAAACAGUAGCUUUCCCAUCAUCGCGUCCUGGGUACAUACUGAGUUCCUGACUUGCUUCUCAACAAAUCAGCCCGGCCUGAAUCAGACGCUAUCAUUCAGGCCUCACCGCCUCAGCAGCACAUAACAUGAAAAGUUCGAUCUGGAGAGGAAUUUCAGCGUAAUUUUAUACUUCCACAUGCAGUGCACACAACGUCGAAAAUUCCAUGUGUUCCAAGCAAACAAGUUCGAACCAUAUCAAGUUUCUCAAUAGAAAAAACAUUGGUUUCCUCCUACUUCUGGAUACAAAAGGCGCUAUUAUAUAGAACCUCACGGCAACCAGUUAUUGCCCCAUAACCCUUUACAUGCCUUCAUGACAUUAUUUGUUUGGUAUGCUUUAAGGCAGGACACUUCCCAUUCAGGACUAUCCCGACUUGCUGCUACAUUACAUGCUACACGCGUACAAAAAGCAUAUGCUGUUGCUAACAACAAAAGAGGGCUACACACCUAUUCCGAUACUAAUGUUACAGUUGAAGGUAACAAAAGAGACCGAGGCUUUCCUGAGCUAGGUGGGCAACCUCAAACAAGUGCUGCUGCCCGAGCUGCUGCUGAUCAAGCAAGGGAGGUCCCGCACCUGGAGCUUCACGUUGCACGAACCCAUCGAGUCCAUGACUUCGACGCACUCCUGGAGAUCCGAGUCGUUCGCCAGGAUGACCCAUUCGUCCUCGUCAUCCUUGUACUUUAGCUGGAACGUCCCCGUUGACAGCUUGAACCUCUUCGCUAUUUCUUCCAGCAGCUGAUACCAGCCCUGUGAUGGCAAGAACUUGAACCGCACGGUGUCCCCGUUGUACGUAGCCUUGACCGUGAGUGUAGGUCCGCUUUUGCCUUUAAGAGCAUGCCCUGGCUCCUUCUUGAAAGUAGGAUGGCUUGAUGCGCUUCCGCUAGAUGAGUCUGUCAUACCAGAGGUAGAAGGAUGGGUGUGCUCCCUGGCUUCAUGAUCGUCAACCAUAUUUGUUUUUUGAAACGCAUCGUCAACCAUAUCAAUAUCUGCUUGUUGUAAAGAUGGUGAGUUCCUUCCGACUAUUUGGUCUCCUGUGUUCUCAGCAGUUGGACGGGCAGAGACAAAAGGACUCACACAACCUGUUUCUUUGGGAUGAAAAGCACUAACUGUACCAACAGGAUAUGAUUGUCCUUGUGUGCCUUCAGGACUGACAUGUGGUGUGACAUUCGCACCAUAAGAAGUGUGAUUACCAAUAUCACUGUGGUUGCUUGUCUGCAUGUGAAACUCACCACCUUCUCCUUUCUCCGCAUCAGAGAGCUGCACUUGGUAACUUUCACUUUGCCACCCAUCAGGCGAUGAGUAAGCUUGCUCAGAUUUUGGGACAGAUUUUUGCUCCACAGUUUUUCCAGAGGAUAGAGCAGGCAAAGCAUCAGUUGAAGAAGCUGGCCUCUUCUCUGGCAGAGAGGCUGCCGGAACAAGAGAUCCAGUCCCAGGAUCAUACUGCAAGGAGCUGUCGACCCCAUGAACAGAGUUAAUGACAGUUUGGAUCUUUUUUAGUGAACGGUUCACCUUGUUUAUCUUGCGAGAUGGCCAUCGCGAAAUUCCAUGUGCGCGGCAUAUCCGUUUCAAAGUUGUUGGGCAAACUGUGACAGUAUUAACAGGAAACUGUUAACAGAAGCCAUCCAUUUCAUUAUAUCAAAUUUACAAAACAUAGAUAGCACGUCACAGUACACACUCAAUGAGAGAUCAUUAACAAAGUGGCACAAAAGAUUUAGGGGCUCACCACCAAGGCUCUUUGCAGCAUCCUUUAGGCUCCCAGAGAAGUACUUACGAAGAACAUCCAAACUAAUGUUCUUCUCAGCUGUACUGCGCUUUUUCUCUGCAAGGCGCAUUGAACUAGAUUGUACCUGCGGUGCAGAAGAAGCUUGUUCAUCUAGAGGAUCUGAAGUUAAUAGUAUUGAUUCUGCAGAUUUAACCCAAUCUAAUAGACUAACCAUGCAACAAAGCUGAUUACAAUCCAACCAUGAGAACAGCCCUUUACAAUGUAUGGUAGAUUUUUUUUUUGAGGAAAGCCAAUGUAUGGUGGAUCGUGUAGUGGCAUGUUCAAAAGAGGAGUUGCUUCCGUUGCUACAGUUGGGACCCUUCUCAACUAAAAAUUCCAAUUUGACAUUAACUUAACUUAAGUAAUGCCCACCGGAUCUAACGCACAAUUAUCUGAAUGUGUAAUGAACCAUGAAAUUCAAUGAAAUUGAGAAGAAAAAUGUUGAAGUCAAGCGCAUUAUGCUUCUUCAACAAGACAGGUUCACAGAAAUGAUCCUACUGUAUAUAUGCAAGUCAUAUUUAUGUUGUGGAUAUAUUCAACCUAAACAUCCAUGCAAUAAUUUCAGCUCUGUCAUGCUAAUUAUGGUUAUUCAUAAAUCAGGACCAAGAUGGUUGGACAGAAUGUCAUCUUUAAGUAAAAAUAUAUAGUAAUAGAGCACCUGCUCAGGUUCCAUGUAUCCUUGCUUAUCGACCAAAGAUAGGUCCUGGAAGGAGGCUUCCGUGAUUGGUUUAUCACAAUGUGAUGAACUUUCGGAGUGGCCAGUUGGCGAGACACUUUCACUGGUUGUCUUGUACAAUACUGCAUUACGAGCAUCAACUUUAUCAACUUCUGAUUCAGCCACUGUUCGCAAACUUUUGCAUAUUCUUUGCAUUGUACUGGAGAGGUUAUUCAGUAACAUCUGUUGUUCUUCGCUGCCUUUGCAGUUGAUUGGGAGAAAGAAUUCUAAUAUGUAGUCAUCAUUCCCAGUGUAUGUGCUCCUUAGCCGGAUAGCAACAGCAGCAUGCAAACCAAACUUACGAGCAUGGUGCGCAAGUGGGUAAUCCUUAAUAUUGUAUUCUCUUAUAUUAGGUGAGAAGAACGGCAGAUUGGAUUUGAGUGCACGGCCCGCAAUACCCUGCCCUUUCUCAAGAGGACUUUCAGCACAUGCAUGAAAAAAGCCUUUCAUCUUUGCAUCAUUAACAUAACAGGCUGAUUCAUGAACACAGAGUAUCUCUUUUCCUGAUUGCGAACCAAGGCCACCAUCCCUUCCAACAACAUAAGCCCCAUCAAUGCCAUUUGACAUAGGAACCCAUGUAAGGGCCAGCGGAAGCAUGUGUGCAUGGCAAAUAGCUCUCAGAACAUCCAGAAUUUCAGUAAAGGCAGCUUUCUGAUUUUCUGUAUAAAACUGCAAAUGAAGAGACACCAUAUGUAUUAAACAUCAGUUCGCAAACAAAAUACUAAAAUGAUAACUUGCAUCCAGAAACGCAAAUAGGCCAUGUUAUAAGUAAAGAAUGGCACCUUCUGGUUGCUGCAAUCUUUUGUUGUCUUCAAGUUCACAGCCUACAUAAGAUUAAUGUGAUGAUAUCAAAUGGAAGUGACAAGAAAAAUCCCACAUUGUAGAAGAUAUACCCAACUAUCCAUUUGCAACCACAAAUGUGAUUACAAUUUCAGAUUCUCAGUGAAGUGAAGAAGCACUUAGUUAAAUUAUUAGGGGAAGAGGAUAAGAUAAUUUUUGUUGACAAGAUCAGAAGAUAGUGAGACAAUAGAAGUGGAAAACUAAGCAUCGUUAUGGUUAACUACAUAAACACGAAACAUUUGAGCAUUUGACAGAGUUGUUUCAACGGAAUUUGAUGCCUUGGAAUAUGCUGCUUCAGACCAGAACUACAUCUUGGACAUGUCUGCUUAAAAAAGCAUCAGCUAGACAACUAUGGAUCGUUGAGUACUGCCAUUCGAAUGUUAGUGUACACAUUUAUUCAUGUCAUAUGUAAAUGGCUGGGUGGACUAGCAUCUAUUCUAAAGUUACUCCAGUAGUGUAUAAGAUACUAUCAAUUAUAGCAGGAAGGGAGAUGCCAUAGCAUUCCAAAUGAUGCUCAUGGAGUGAAAGUACUACAUAAGCAGAUUAAAACUUGCCUGCAAGGCUUGGCGAACGUUGUCCAUCUCUGCAUUAAAAUCAGGCUUCUCCCUUUUGGUGAUAAGUUCAAGCACCGCACAGCAAGAGCCCUUGCUGGGAUCAUAAAUCGGCAUUGCAAGUGAUCCACGUACUUCGUGAUGAAGAGCAUACUCCAUCCUCAGGUACUCCGGCUUGCUGUAGUACAGAACAUUUGACGUCCAUUCAGGCACCCCGGAGAUGAAGACUCUCCCUGGAAGGCCUGGGUGCAGCCCAGUCUCCUCCUUCGCCGAAAACACAAAGUUCCUGGACACUUCUCUGUACCCUGCAAGAGACUGGUCUAGCAGAAAUGGCUGGUCGGAUGUACUCAGCACGGCGUGGCCCUCCUGCUCAACAGGCAUCCAGACUUGGGCAAGGACACCAUCACCCAACGACUCCCUGAAGAAGGACAGAGCCAUGAGCAUCCUGUCUGCGAGAAAGUUGCCGCCGACAGGUCUCGGAACCAAGCUAGUACGUCCUUGCCCAGGAUCACUAUCCGCACCUGGCUCGCCUGAGCUCCUGGCCACUCUCCCCGUUUCAGCUGGAUUCUCCGAUGCUACCAGAUCGUUCUUUUGAGGAGGUGCUGCCGCCACUGCCUCAGAUACACCAGCAUAGGCACCGAGAGGCAUAUCUUCACUCAUACCUGAAGCUCGCGGCGACGAUCCCAGGGAUGACCACAUAGCAAACAUCUGGUGUGCGGACGGAUCAUUCACCAAGGAGUAGAGCUGAUCGGCCAGCGAAGGGCUGCAGAGCUCCAAGUAUCCAUCGAAGUUCAUCGUGGCGGGGACACCAUAAGGAUCAUCUGAAGGCUCCGUCACCGGGCUGCCCAUGUUCCGGUUGCAGCCAGCACGGCUUGACGGCGCAGGCACGUCCAUGAUUCCGCUCCUCUCGGAUUGGUUGAAGAUACAGGCUUAGAGCACCUCCAAGAGAGCCCCCAUCCGACUCCCCGUAGUCAAAAAUGGAGAUUUUGCCCCACAAAAAACCCCUCCAGCAGCAUCCCUAUUCCAUCCCCCAAACCUAGCCGUGCGCCAAAUCGCCUCAGGGAAAGCCCAUACCUAGCCGACGGAGAACCGCCUGGCCUCGCCGGCUCGCCGGCCGAUGUGCUUGGUGGAGGCGCAGGUAGACAGAGGGAGCUAGGGAAAGAGGGAGUGGUACUGGGAGGUGGCGGCGGCGGCGCUGGGCAGGUGGCUGGCGGCGUUGGUGCCUGCCGGAGGCGGCUGGGAGUGGAGACAGAGGAGAAUCGGCGGACGCUAGCGAGUGGAGAUAGAGGGGAAUCGGGAGUGGAAGAGAUUUUUACGCCGAGAGAAUGGGAAACAAGAGAGAUGAACCGGGGAUUUAUCCAUUGACGCAGAAUUGAUGCAAAUUCUUGUGAUUAGAAUUGAUGUUUGAAGUAAGGAGUAUAAUUUAUUUCUCAAAAAAAUCUCCGUAUAAUAAUCUAUUACAUACAAUAUAUUAAAUUGGAAUCGGUGGUAAUGGGUGAUUGCCGUUGGUCGAUGUUGGUUGGUCAACUUCGUUAAAAUUACAAUUAAUAUGUCACUGUCACUUAUUUUCUUUCCCUCCCGUCUUAUUCACGAUUUUAGUAGCAGAAAUUUUACGGUUUAGAUUUACCGAAAGUUAUUGUACGGUCCAAAUUUGUCACAACAUAAUACGAACAGUCCUAAAAUAAAUCAAUCUCCUUAGCAUGAAAUUCAAAAUUCUUCGUAUCCAUCUCAGUAUGAAAAUCAAUCCGAACCCAAACAAAAUGUCUCGGUAUCAAUCUCAGUAUGGAAAUCAAUCCAAUCGAAAAAUCAAUGUCCAGACUUCGCCUCCACCGACUCGUGCUUGAUACACUUUCCGUUGUUCCGUAGCAUCGCACGGGUUCUUUUCUUUUAUACUGUAGGUUUUUUUCUUUUAUACUCCUAUUUAAAUAAAAUAGGAGUAUAACAACAUAUAUAUCAAAAUUUGUCUUAGACUUUGGUGUGCUAUCCUUUUCUUUUAUACUGUAUUUCAAACUUAAAAGGACGCGCUGCUUCCUAAUUUUUGUAGAGAAAAAAAACAUUUUUUUAGAAGAGUUGGGUUUGAAUUAAUAAUGCCCAAUUUGAUGGGCGUUAGGUGUUGACGCUGUGCUUAUCCCAUGCUCUAGGUUAGAUUAGAGUUGUGUGCAAUGCACUACUUACUUCCUAAUGCAUGGCAAGUUUGACCAAACACCAAGUGUCGGCAUAAAAUUUCAACUACUGGACCUUUAAUUAAGCUUAAUUAGCGUUCAGAAAGCGGGUUCAUAAUACGCAUUGGGUUCAUAAUACUAAAGUUGGGGCGAGAAUCGUAGACGUUUGAAAGAUUAUUUGUUUCCGUUCGCCUGUUCUGGUCUGGAUGCGGGUGACGUAGCUAAAGUGAGAAUCUUUGCUCUAGUCUAUUCGACGUACGUUGCAUUUCCGAGACGAGAAAGCGGAGAUUUCUGAACGAAAACAGGAUGGCAGGGAAUUUCACGAGGAACAAAGUUAACCAAAAGGACCAUUUUGGAACGGAGCGGGCGGCUAGUUUGGGCCGGGUCGCGGCGGGCCUACAGUAGCGGGGAAGUAGCCGGGGGCCGUUUCGCCUUCGUCGGUCUGGCCGGGCCCACCCUGCCGCACAUGCAUGGCGUUCGUUCGUUCGUUCGUUCGUUUCUUUGUUUUUUUUUCUCUCUCUUUCUCUUCGUUCCUCCUCUGAUAUCUCUCUGAUCUGCCAGUCUCCUUUGCGGCGUUCCAUCGAAUUCUACGAUCGUUGCGUCUUCCGGCCGGAUCCCAUGCGUGAUUAAUUGUUGGGUGGAUGGCGACGGCGAAGGCGUUUAUUGGAUCCAAAUCGCCCGACUGCUUCCAGCUCCGAGACCCUAAUUCCUGGUACUGAAUUACCUCCUCCGUUUCCGCUAAUCCCCUUCCAUACGCAUUUCCUCUGAUUGGCCACGGUGCGAUGUAGCCAUCGAACUACGCCUUAAUUCGUUAGCACCUAACUCUGGUAAAGAAAUUUCUUCAUUCGCAUCAACAAGAUCUCGUCAGAGUUGGCAUUUCAGUCGCCCUCUGGUGUAGGAACGAUUUUCAGGUGCAUCCUUUCGUUCUUGGCCGCGUGGCCAUCUCCUCUAGAGAAAAUCUCGUCGAGCACCUUAAUCAGUUAGUCUCACAAAACGUGCGCGAGGUACGAGGGAUUUGUUUGAAUAGUUUCAGGAUUGCGCGAGUGAACUGAAACACUGAUUUGAUUCUGUUUCGACACCAGAACAUGUAAACCAAGAACAAAAACAUUACUACAGCAGAGAAUGUUGUUCUUGGUUUACAGACCACAAUGCCAUCCCUUAAUUUUACUUUUGUUUUCUUUUGCAGGGUUUGCUUGACUGAGCUCGCGAGCGAUGUAGUCGUUGAGGUGGGAGAAGUGUCUUUCCAUCUACACAAGGUACGUUCAUCUGCUUCCUCUGUCUCGGGUAAUUUUCUCUUCAGUUUGAGAAUUGUUCCGUCAGCUCAACAUCUAUCUGAAUGACUCGUACCCAUUUACAGCGAAUGUACGUACAUUUGCGUUUUUACUGACACUGCAUCGCAAACUUAACUCCUCCCUGUAUUUGCUUCCAGUUCCCGUUGAUCAACCGAAGCAGCACGCUACAGAAGCUCAUCACCUCUUCCCCAACCUCCGACGACGACAACAAGCAGCCAUGUACCGUCAACCUCGACGACCUCCCCGGCGGCCCGGCCACCUUCCAGCUCGUGGCCAAGUUCUGCUACGACGUCCGGAUCGAGCUCACCGCCGCCAACGUCGUCCCGCUCCGAUGCGCCGCCGAGCACCUCGGCAUGACCAGCGCCGGCUCCGCCUCUGCCGCCAACCUCGCCGAGCUCACCGAGUCGUUCCUCCGCGACGCCGUGCUCCCCAACUGGGACGCCUCCGUGCGCGCGCUCCAGACAUGCUCCGGCAACGCCUCGGCAUUGUUGUCGCGCUACGCCGAGGAGCUCGGCGUCGUGUCCCGGUGCGUGGAGUCGCUGGCGAGCAAGGCGUGCGCUGACCCGACGCUCUUCGGGUCCCCGAUGCUCGCGUAUUACACGGCCAAGGAGGACUCAGAGUCUGCGUCGGGGUCGGCGGCGGUGAUGUGGAACGGCAUUGCCACCGCCGGGAAGCCCCGGGCGCCGGGGGCCGGGUGGUGGUACAAGCAGGCCACGUCAUUGCACUUCCCUUUCUACAAGCGUCUCAUAUCCGAGAUGAAGUCCAAGGGCAUGAGCCCGCACAGCGUCGGCGGCUCGCUGAUGCACUACGCUACGCGGCACAUCUCCGGGCUCAACACCCGGAAGCUGCUCGGCGCGGCGGCGUCAUCGGAGCCGGAGACGACGACGACGGUUGUCACGGACGUGGACGGGGAGCGGGCGCUGCUGGAGGAGAUCGUGGCGCUGAUGCCGCCCGAGAGAGGGGCGGCGACGGCGCGGUUCCUGCUGGCGGCGCUGCGGACGGCGGCGGUGCUGCACGCGGGGGAGAAGUGCCGGUCGGCGCUGGAGACGAUGGCCGGGGCGCAGUUGGAGGAGGCGGCGCUGGAGGAAUUGCUGAUCCCCAACGUCGGGUACGCGAGCGAGACGCUGUAUGACGUGGACUCCGUGCAGCGGAUGCUGGAGCGGUUCUUCGUGAUGGCCGCGGAGUACGAAGGAGAGCUCUCGCCGGAGAUUGUCAUGGCAGAUGGCGGCGAUGGCGGGAGGGAGGUGUCCGGCGGCGAGCUGGCGGCGGCCUGCGGUGCGGUGGCGAAGCUCGUGGACGGGUAUCUCGCCGAGGUCGGCUCGGACGCGGGGCUGAAGCUAUCCAAGUUCCAGACAGUCGCCGCGCUCGUCCCCGACCACGCCCGGCCCCUCGACGACGGCCUCUACCGCGCCAUUGACAUCUACCUCAAGGUAUCUAAUACUAAUAGCUAAGUAAUCAAGGAGAUCAGUUGGAAACCAUGGCUAAUUUGUGGAUCUGAGUAUGAGCAGGCGCACCCGGGGCUGACGAACACGGAGAGGGAGCAGGUGUGCAGGCUGAUGAACUGCCAGAAGCUGUCGCUGGAGGCGUGCACGCACGCGGCGCAGAACGAGCGCCUGCCGCUGCGGGUGGUGGUGCAGGUGCUCUUCUUCGAGCAGCUGCGGCUGCGCACCACCGUGGCCGGCUGGUUCUUCGUCUCCGACAACGCCGUCGCCGCCGCCGACCCCCAGCGGCCCGGCAGCAGCAACAGCAGCUCCCGCCCGAGGAAGAGCUUCGCGGGAGGCUUGGGCGACAUCGAAUCCGCUGCCGGGUCAGAGGAGGAAGACGACGACGAGGCGGAGAUUGAGGACCACGAUUGCCGGAGCAGCAGCGAGCAGGCGUCGGUGGAGGAGAUCCGGCAGCGGGUGGUGGAGCUGGAGGAGGAGUGCUCUAGCAUGCGGCACGAGAUCCACCGCCUCGGGAAGCCCAAGGGCGCGCUCGGCAGGCUGUUCCGGAAGCUCGGGCUCGCCAACGCCGGCGGCGGCAAGUCCUCGUCGUCGCGGCAGCUGCUGAAGAGCUCGAGUGAGGGGAAGCGUAGCAGGUUCUUGGAUUUGGGGUGCUGAUUUUGGAAGAUUUAUUAAUGUCCUUAUGUAGUUUCGAUUCAAGUUUGUUUUCGGUUGUAGAAUAGGUAGGCCAUGGGUUCCAUUUUGUUUUUAACUCUUGCUGAAAUAAGGUUUUAGAGCGUACGACAUUUUUUAUUGGUUUAGAUAAAAACAGAUGUACAAUUUCGUAUGCAACAUUUUUGCAACAAAAGGAUACUGAAUUACAAGUUCUUUGGGACAUCAACAGAUUUGAUACCGUUCGAUUAUAUCGUCUCCCAAGAACACUGUUGAAUUACAAGUUCAAACUUGAGCAAACCGAGCACAUGGUCAAAAUCCACAUAGUAGUAUUGUUGCAGAUAGAAGAUUACAUUCUCAGCAAAGAGGACCAGAUGUAUCCAAACGUAGGCUCUCUGACAGUGGAGAAGAGUACCAAGUAGCUACACGGCAAAAUUUAUUACCUCUGUUUACAAAGGGGUUAUAGGAUCAUGCAUUUGCAACAUGGUAUAGAGAAACAUGCGAGUAUCGUAAGUCAGCAACUGGCAUGUAAAUCUGGCCGAAUAAGAGGAAAACAAAAUGGUGGAUCAUGAAAAUGUAAUCGAUGAAGCGUAAGAGUGCAGCAGAGUAAGCGUCUGCUCAGCUAUGGCACGUUUCCUCGCCUGCUUCACCCACUCGGUGGCUAUUUCCUCCGCUUCACUCCCUUGCAACCCUCCUGUCAGGGCAUCAACUGCUGCACUUAAGUCUCCAUCUACAAUCAAAUCUUCCACUCUGCUUAUAAGAGACUCGAUACCGUCUCCAGAAUGGUCCUCUUUGAUCUGAAAACCAGUUACACCAAAUUUAGAAGCUUAAUCUGAGAAUUUAAAAAACAUCUCAGCAGCAAAGACGAUAUCUUGUACAGUUGCACGGUGGCCGUUGAGCAAAAAAAGAGGCAAGCUGAUGAUAACCAUGCGAGAAGGAUCCAUUGCUUUAAGUAAUCCAAACGAUAACUGUGCCCUAACCAAGGUUGGUAAAGAGGCCAGGGGCCAACCAAAAUCAAUUAGGCAGUACAAUGCCUGGACUAUAGAAAUAAAUAGCAUUUGAUAGUGCUUCAGCACAAGAUUGGGACAUCCAGAUUUUUCAGGUUCAUCAAUAUAAAACUGAUAAGUAGGAGGAAGUCGCAACAUUCACCUUGAUGGAAGAAGCAACACGAGCAACAGCGUGUGUCAGCAUACCACCACCACCUGAUGGUAUAAGGCUAAAAUGUCUGAUUGUUUCCUUCAAGGAAUUGAACUGCAAUAGGAAAUGAUGGUAACUUAGUAAAGGUAGCCAAAGUAGUUUUGCUCAAUAAAUAUUCACACAACUUAGUGUAGGUUAUUAGCAAGAUUACAAAUUUCUACUCCCAACGUUUUAAAUACAGUACAUAUUGUUUUAGGAUGUGUAGUCAGACUUAUAAUAACUUGACCUAUUAGUAUUUAAAUGCUCACAUGGGAACGAUAUACUAUGUCUGUCAUAAAAUGUAUUUUCAUAUUAACAUUUAUUUACAAUGACUAGAAAAAUAAAAGCUGAAAAUAUGGAUGUGAAGAGAUAUGUAAAAGGUGUCUGAAAAGACGUGUACGUAUUUAGAAACAAAAUGAGUAAUUAACAGCUGCACUCUCAGAAUAAUCUCUUUUCAAAAUGAUACACAAUCAGGGAUGUAUUUUCAGAAUGAGCAUUACCUGAGUUUUUUCACACAACAAUAGAGUUGAUAUUAAACAACAGUACGACACAUAAAAAUGCAAACACUUAUUGCAGCACAAAGAAUCUACCUUUUGUUUCAACUCCAUCCGGGUAUCUGAUCCAUACUCGAGAACAUCUUCUGGAAGCGAUGAAAGAGCCAAUUCUAGCAGUGAAUCUUUGUCAAUGCCUUCAAUAGAUUUACGCAAUAGAUCCACCUCUGUCCGGAUCGGUGAUCCGCUGGAUAGAGCUUCUUCCAAAGCAAGAGUGCCCUGCAGAGAUUUAAGAAUUUGUCAAAAAAAAAAAAGGUCUGAAAGCAGAAGAUGAGAAGACAGCAUUUAAGCUUCCAGUAGUUAGAAGAAAAGCACGUAAUGGCAUCAAAGAGAGAAACUCACUAGAGCAAGCUUAUGGACUGAAUGACUCUGCCGAGCUUCUUCAGAUCGCGCAUAGAAUGCCAUGCACAAAGCAUCUAUCUGAAAAAUAAGCACAACAAGGAAAUCAACAAAUGGAAGUGGAAAUUCUACACACUGAACACAUGGUUGGUAUAACAAUGGAAGAUAAAUACUCAGUAGAUAGAACGGAGACCUCCUAGUUAAAACAAGAAAACAAGUGGAUCCUUGUAGGAAAAUGUCCUGCCUUUAAUUGCAAUCGGAUCAACCCUAAUUCGCUAGCCAACCCAUCACUUGCGGAUGAGCUCAUUGCAGCUGAGCAUGUUUUAGUACCAUGAUUUUUUUGGAAUUUCUGUACCUAUUUUAGCGAAAAACUGCAUUGAGAGGCCGGCAGUAUAUGGACUUUAUCAUUUUUCUACUUUCCACACUACAUCAUCCAAGGUAACCACGGAACUCUGAAUAUCAUGGAUGCAAAUAAACAUUUGAGAAACGCUCGCUGCUAAUUCACAUAGCUCUUGAAGGUGUGGUAGGGUACUAGGGUGGCAGCAUACUAACCUUGCACAGCAUUUAGAACAUUGCCUAUCCUAAAAGAAAAAAAUGUCACAGGUACGUACAUUGAGAUUUGCUUCAGCAAUCUGUUCGAUCUGGGAUGCUUUCUCUUUUGCAAGAGCUGCAGCCAGUUCAGCCUUUGCCAACUCUUGAACCUUCUCAACUUGUUGACUUGAUUCCUCGUUCUAUUAAUUUAGCAACAGUACAGUUACACAACGAAUAAAUAUAAAGAGAAUAAAGAAUCUAUGGCACAUAGAAACAAAUCCGACAGACCUUCAGCUGCAGCUCAUCCCGAAGUGUUUGUUCAGCUUUUUCUUGAAGCUCUUUAAUCGCAGCAGCAGACUUCAAUUUCUCUUUCUUCAGCUCCUGAAAUAAAAUCAUGAAACUAAAAAUGUUACAACAUUUAAAGAAUUCAUUUCAAAUUGAAAUGCAAACAAGAGAUACUAUACCAGUCCAGUAUGUACAAAUAUACAUCGAGGAGGAUAAAAAAAGAAUGCACAUAAGAUAUUAUACAAGAGAUUGUUCUAUUUUGGUUUUUAUUUUACACUGAAAAUUUAAGAAAUAUUGUUAAAAGUGCUACACCUUCAAUCUCUAUUGUAGGUCAUUGCCAUAUCCAUGGAAUGAAAUAUUUGAAACCUAACAAAUCCUCUACGUAAAAACACCUAGAUUGGUCACAAUAAUGCCACCUGGAUAUUUUCAUUCCAUGAACUUUACUAAUAAAUAAUAAUGCAUACUGACUUUACAUAUAGCGAAUGGUCCCAGCAUAGAAGAAACAUGGAGGCCUAAUACAGAACAAAACCAGAAAAUCAAUAAAGCAUGUAAGCCUCACCUUAUCCAGAAUUGCUGCCUCUUCAGCAUACAUGAGUUCCCGGGCCCUGGUGUCCUUUAGUUCCUUUUCGUAUUUGUCCUGAAAAUGAAAAUAAAUCAUGACACUAAAAAUGAGUACCGUCAAGUGUGCAUUACUCCCUUCAUUAAGAAAAACAGAGCACAUUUUGGUUUAUCACAUGGAUCAAGGCUAUGAAACCAAGAAGUUACUAGAGGGAAAUGGACACGCUAUACAUGGUAUUAAUGUCUUGGGAAUAAGACAGAGAUAAGUUAGUGUGAGCGCUUAAGUCAUAAAUAUUGAAGAAAGACAGGGAAAUGAGGGAAAAUAUGCAAAAUGCCGUUACAUCCGCUUGCAAGCCUUAUAUUGUAGGACAAAAUCCCGCAGAUGUCCUUAUAUUUUUGGGGAGUGUAUAAGUUCAAAAGAAUCAAUGCCUAUUACCAAUUUAUCAAUAAAAAACAUGACAACUAAAACAAUUGAACAGAAGGAGGAAAAUAUUAGUGAUCCACAAAGGCAUGAUAUGCUAUGGUUGAACCUUGAUAUGCAGAAAACAACAAACGUGACUAAGCCAAACCAUAAGUUGCAAAUGGAUAACAAACCUUCAACUUCCUCUUCUCUUCAGAAAACAUGUAAGCAUCAGUAUCUGCCUGCUUUUUUUCAGCAGCAUGAAUAGCAUCUAUGAUAUCGAGCAUAAUUUUCCCAUCAUCAGUGUCUUUUCCACCACCAACAAUGCCAUCAGUUCUAGCCUCCUUAGCAAUCUGUUUAACAACAAAAGGAUAAAAAAGAUAGGUAAGCAUUGAAAUGUGAAUAACUGUCAUCAACUUAUUUCCAGUGAGCUCUCCAUCAGUACAUUGUAUUUCAUCAAUGUUGGUACUGUCCAGUUUUUAGAAGGUGAGAGGACAUACCACAUCUUUAGUAAUGUCAGGUUCCUGCUGUAGUAAAUAUGUCUCAGCAAGAGAUUUCUGUUCACCUCCACCAAUAACUGAUGGAUCCUACGGAUACAAAUUAGUUCAAUUAGAUGAUUUUCCCAAUGUCAUUAUUCACUACUUAGAAACAACAUCAUAAAUUAGUAUAGAAGAAAGAUAACCCGGGAAAAAGGCUUGUCUGAUUAUGCUACAUGAAAGAACUAGUGGUGGGUUAUUAAUAUGUAACUUAUAACAAUACAUAGGGCAAGGUAAACAUAGAGUGAUUUUCAAUUUUCAAUAAAGCACUGUAGUUAACCUUCAAAACGAUAUAACUGAAAGUGACUAUAGGACCACUUCAAAUUUGCUCGAGUGCGAGCUCUGCAUGUCAAAGUCCAACAUAAUAAAAAAAAUAAAAGUCAGAACUGUAGAUAGACGAUAGAAGGCAGCCAACAAACUAUGACAUUUGCAUACUACAUAGUGCAUUAAUAACCUUAUUUAUUUAAACCAAAGUAUUGGAGGAUUCCCAUUUUUAGAAAUUUAUCUAUGCAAAUCAUAAUCCAUGGAGCCUAGAAUCCACAAAAUAUCCAAGAAGGAACACAAUAGUCCUUGUUAAGUUUAUAAAAUCUGUCCAAGUGCCAAUUUCAAAUGGUGGAAAAUAAAAGAGGGAGUAUCUUGCACUUAUGAUCAGUGGCGGUGCCAGCUCCCAAAACCUGUGACUGUGAUUUCAAUGUAUCUUAUAUUCCUAGAAAUUGUGAGGACUAAUGUGCAAUAUUUGGACAUAUGAAGGUGCUUUACGCAAAGCUGUGAUAUCAUUUGACAUCAGGCUGCACAUGAUGAUAAUGUGGCACAUAUAACAAGUUCAAAAUGAAUGCAAACGUUAAGUGCAUCACUAUCUGUGUGCAAAUCAUGGUAAGGACCUACUGUUGUUGAGUUCGACUGCAGUGGAGAAACUGUGCUACCAAUCUUGUCAGCUUGUCCAGGAGGAACUUCAUGUAAUGCCUUGUCAUUAGCAACGCUAUGCUUUAUGUCAACAGUGGGAGUGUCUUGAGACGGCAGUUUAGUAUCAGCUACAUGCUCAUCUUGAACUGGUAGUGUCUCCUGGGCGUGGGUUUCUGUCUUUUCUUCUUCAGCGGGAGUAGGUUGCUCACCAACAGUUGGAAUCACUGCCGCACCUAUCCCUUCAGUUGGAAGGUCCUGAGGUGUAUGAACCUUACUGCCGCUAUCCUGAACAAUGCCAGUGUUUGGAUCCGGCAUGGUUCGUUUCUGAUCAACCUUUUGUUCAGAAGAAGACUUCAGAUUUUCAUAUAUCUUUGUGAAAUUUUGCUCCCUGACGGCUGAAGGAAAUUUUGUAUCCUUAAACUGAAGGUCUAUGUAGCCGGCUUGGUAAGCAGCCAUAGCAGCAGCACCAACCACCAGAGUCCCAAGCAGAAGCUUUGAAACCUUGCUUCCAGACUGAGAAGGUUCUUCUUGAGGGCCAGGAACAGAAUUCUGUGUCGAACUCUUUUGAGAUACCUUUGUCGACUUCCUUCUGGAAUUUAGUAGUGGGCUUUGGACCUGACAAUUAGGUUACUCUGUCACUUUCUUGGAAAUCAUAUACUACCUUGAAGAAAAUAGUUUAGGUAAGCAAUCAACAGAAAAAUAAACUUCCACAGCUAAGCUCGAAAGCACCGAUAUGGCCAGCUCCGUCGUAUCGGCAUGCUGACACGCCGCGACAAGGAAUAGGCUCAACAAGGAAUUACGGUCACGAAAGCAUUAUAAACCUAAUACAAAAUCCUGUGCAUUAAUGGCAAAUUAAAAAUGACCGCACUUAUAUAAAUCAAUUUAGUGAUCAAAUGAAAGAAAAUCUAGCCACGAGGCAUUUGACAGGUCUAAUCAACUUUUCUAGAUGUUUCUGCUUGCAUUGAUAAUGUGCCAAUAUGAAACCGUGGUUCCAUUUUAGUGCUACAACCAUUACUAGUACUACACAUCUACGCUGGCAACAGAUUUGAACUUUCAUAGCAGACCAUAUAUUGCUCAAUUAAACAAAUAGAAUUUUUCUGUAAUUUACUCGGGGAAAAACACUGAUCAAUCUUAUCCUGGUUAAGCCCACAGCUUCUCACAAAACUCGGUGAUAUUGAUUUCAUCAAUGCAAGUCAACAUAAUUCCUUAACUUAGGACCUCGAGGUCAUUGGAAGACCUUAUAAAAGCAGGUAACUGGAUCACAUAUCACAGCAUUUUGCUCCAUUACUACUUCAUUGAACGCUAACGAACUAUGUUUUCAUAACAAAUGACAGGAUGAGCAGCAUUGCCAAAUUAAUGAGACAUCAGCAAGCAAACCUACGACUGACAAUGUAAUCAACAAAUUCACCAAUCCAAGGCGUCCCCGGUAUGCUCAGACAAUAACCGGAUUCUCAACUCAACAAAUAGUACAUACAUCAGACGAGACGGGAGCGCUUACCUCGCUGGAGAUCGGCCUGGGGAUCCUCGUGAGGGACCGCAGAGAGUACAGAUCCCGCACGCCCCUGCAAUAGCAGAUAGAACAAGACAUUAUACACCGAAACCCUAAUUUGGCGGGGCAAAUUCCUAGGUCGUUCCCCGUACCGGCGCAACAUGACGGGCGAUGUCAGAGGAGACCUCCGCCUCUAGGUAUUCUUGUCGCUUGGCAGGGAGGAGGGGCGCGGAGCGGCGCAGCUCCGAUCGUUCUGUAGGGUCACCGCCUUGCGCCGCAGGGGCGAGCCGGCGACGGCGGGGAAGAGGGGAACACGGAAGACGGCCGGGUGAGGGUGACGCAGGGUCGCCGUGCACUUGUGCGGCUUUGGGAAUAAACGUUUCGGGAGAAUGCGAGACUAUUCUCGAGUAAUAUUUUCGAGAGUAAAUAAAAUUCACAAGCGAAAUUCAAAUGAUUUUCAUGGAAAAAAAUUUGGAGUGUUCUAAUUUUUUAGAAUUCCUUUUUUUCAAGGAAAAUUUGAGGAGUUCUUGCGUAUGGUAUUGUUUGAUCGUUCGAUUAAGAGCCAUAGAGAUUUAUCGUAUAGAUCACGGUGCAUGCAAUUUUAGGGGUGGAUUUCUUCGAGUUCAACCUCAUAAAAAAUUGGUUUUCCUUUAUAGCAGCAUAACAAUCACCUAACUUUUUAAGAAUUUCAGUAACAUGUUUAUGUGUUCCCAAUUAUUGCAGUAUUUAACAUGCCAUGGUAUCCAGCUUAUGAUUCAUACUUGCUAGUUCAAAUAUCAUGCUAAAAAUGUUGAUUUAAAGAUUAAAUAUUUGAAGGUUGAGCUAAAAUGGAAUCCUGUUUGCAUCCCUAAUCACGGGGCUAAAAUACGGUGAGAAAGCAUGAUAGUUGUUGUGAACCAAACGCCUUUACCAAGUUAUGACAAAUAUUUGGUAAAAAGAACACGCAUACGCUCACAAUACGUGCGCACACUCACCCUUAUGAAUGCAUACACAUAGACCCUAUUCCUAUGAGCAUCUUCAAAAGAUUGAACAUGCAAAUCUUGAGAGAUUGGCGAAGUCACCGCCUCGUUGUUGACGGUACGUCAUCUACCACUGAAAGAAUAGCUCAAGUUAAAAUCCUGGAAUAAUUCAAAAAAAUGUGACACGCAUGUCAAGUCAACCUGGAUAGGCUAAUUCAACCACAAGGAACCAAGCUACCUGAGUUAUGACCAAUUCAGAAAAAGAUACUCAGCUGGUCCUCACCGUUAACCAAACAUUUUCUAAACUCUCGUUAAUCAACUCAGCUAGUCCUCGCCAUAAGACUGAUCGAGUAAUAUUUUGCAAACAAGUACAGUACAUAACCCUGCAUAGUUAGAUCCAUGCCAUCCUCAGCUUAAUCUAUGUCAUGGCGCAGGCUGUGAUCAGUGACACCGACCGAUUGGCAUCAGUCACAUAACUUUCUUGUGUGAUUUACCUCUCAUGCGAGCCUUUAUCUUUUCAUAAGCAACACCACGGUUUUUGAUGCCAGGCCUUGCUCGUACACAAUCCUAACCAUUACUCCAGAAAAAAACAUUACUCCACUGGUGUUCAGGAGAUAUCAACAGUGUGAUUUCCCUUUGUUGUAGGAGUUAUUACGCUCAAAAAUAGAAUUCAGAACGAUGCUAAGAGAGGCGAAUCCAUAAUUGCAGAAAGGGCCGAAGGUGACAAAGAGUUGACAUAUUCAAUCUUGAGGCUUUCGCCGCUCAGGUAGAAUUAUGUUAGCGAAACAUCUGUUCAACUCCAUGGAAACAAACAACAAUGACACAAAGUUCCCUCUAAUCGCUUCAAAUCAUAAAUCCUACAAGCCCACACAUUCUGAUCGUGUGGGCCGUUUUCAACUCUAAGGGAAGUUUGAUUCCGAGAACAUGACGAAACCAGGCACACCUCUUCGCAUGGUAACUAGGGCAGCGUCCAAGAGCUUCACUUCUUCCUCUUCUUUGGGGGCUGGAGCGAGUCUUCAUCGUCAUCUUCCUCCUCGUCCUCGUUGUCCUGAUCGUCAUCUUCCUCUUCUACUCCAUCUUCAUCAUCUUCACCGGCAUCUUCAUCAUCAUCCUCAUCCUCAUUGUCAUCAUCGUCGUCGUCGUCAUCAUCACCACCUCCUCCGCCCUCCUGCUCCUCCGGUUCUUCCUCAUCCUCCUCACCAUUCUCCUCACCAUCACCUAUUUGUUUCUUCUUGUUAUCAUUGCCCUUAGCAUUGUCAUACUCCUCUCCUUCUGAGAUUUCCUCUUCACCCUCCGCAAAGUCACCAUCAUCAUCCCCAUCAUCAUCAUCUCCAUCUUCAUCGCCAGCAUCAGUAGGAGCAGCUUCAUCGCUCUUCUUUCCACCCAUCUUGAACUCAGGGGCACAACAGAUAGUAUCCUGUACAAUUAUUACACAAAUAUAGUUAGUCAGAAUGCAAACAUCUAGAGCAAAGCUUUAAAAUACUGAAAAAGUAAAAAGGAUUAAAUGAAACAAUUUCUUCUUGUGACCAACAGCUGGCCACACGCCUAAACACAAAAUGGCUCCAAAAUUAAAUAGAUGCGAUUGAUGUAUCUACUGAAUGCAAGAUGCCGCCUGCUUACCAAGCAGAUAAACCAACGUUGUAUUGCUGCUAUAUUGUUUUUGGCUGGAAAGGAGCAGAAGCUUGCAUAACCUGAUCUCACUACGAAAUUCCCCGGUGGAUGUUUCAGGUUUCAUUUCUCCAGUCACAUGGGUUCAAACCUGAACAUUAUAUAUAGAUCAAUUUACCUGACUUCUCGAUCUAACACCGAUUACCAGAACAAUCAAAGAUGGCCGUUUUCAUAAUAACCUGUCUACAAUGUUCAUCUGUACGACUCAUGUAAAGCCAGAACAAACAUGGACAGUGUUAGAAGAAAGUGUGACCUAGUAAAAAUAACUCUAGCCAAGGGAAGGGAGCCCACUGCAAAAAUGAUUACAGGAGGACUCCCUUGUGUUGCAGUCGCGAGCACCGACAGUAAGUAAACAGUACACAGACAGGUGGGACCGUGUGGCAACAACUUUCGCCAUCAAAGAAGUCUUCAUCACACUUAAGAAAGUGAUUAAUCUUACCAAAUCACUCACUAAUCAUGCUGCUUACAGGUUAAGCAACACAAAUCCGAGUACUUCCGUAGACCUACCCAGGGAAGGUAUCUAAGAACGAAUAUUCCCAUAGCCUAUGGGAAGCGAAUAUUCGGGCCCUACAGUCUACUAGGGGCAAGGAGUUGUAAUAAAGAAGCAACGACAGGGCGCUUUCUUUUAUGCCAUGCCACGCGGGGCCCACCUGCGCGGAACUCAAACCCCGAGCUGAAAACCGCAGCCUAAACCCAACACACAGUUCCGCAUCCGAAAAGCACAGAAAGCCAGAACCAUACCUCGCUCAACGGUACAAAAGCAGCGUUGAAGACUUGAACUGAACCACCCUGAUUUUUUUUUUCUCGUAAAAUAAAAUAAUACGCACGCUAGAGAUAAAAUAAUUCGCACGCUAAUUGAGAGGGGAAAAGACAAAGCAGAUAUUUAAAAGAGUAAAAUGACAAGGAAGAGACGAGAUGCAUGUAUGACUCAUGCGAUAUUUGCGGUUAAGGGGUUCAUUUACCUCGGCGCCGGCGGCGGUGAGCAGCUCGGCGAGGUCGUCGUCGGCGCAGGCGUGCAGGGCUCCGGGAGCCGCAGGUUCCAUGACGGUGUCCAUAUCUCGACGGCUGCAAGGGGAACACGUGGACAGUCAAAGAGGAUUUACAAGACGUCAGUCGGAUGGGGGUUAUACCGUUAGAGGCAACAACAACAAACCUUAAAAACCUUGGGUACAUUUUUUACUUUCCCAAGGCGGUGGAAAAAGGCAUGCGCCCGUCAGAUUUUGUGUACCCUAAUUUUAGCAAAAAUCCAUGCUACUGCUUCUGCUAGGCCGCAGAAGAGAAACAGAACUACCAGUCGAAAUAAGAAAGAGAGAGAGAGAAAAAAAAGGAAGAAGAGAAAGCAGAGCACAAGACAUAUUUUCUUUCAGUGAGAGAACCUGAAAUGGGUAAACUCUACUGAACACACAAACCAUGGCAAGCUUCUGACUUUGCAGGUAUGCGUGUAAAAAUCUCAUGCGAUAAGCUCGGACCCUAAAAACUUGUGCAUAAAACAACAACCUUUGAACAGAGGCUAACAGAAACAACACCGGAUUUUAUGAUUAUUAUUCUAAUAGAAAGAAUCGAAGAUGAGUGGAAUUAGGGUGAGGUGAACAUAAUCCUAGAGAGGCAGAGGGGUUUACCUU
rnacentral:lncRNA from 1 species